AGGGUUCUGGGCCGGCGCGAGGGCCUGAGUGAAGUCGGUGCCAGUCUGUGUGCCCCGGUCUCGGUAGGCUUCCGGAUCCGUUCUAGGGUGAUAUCUGGGUCCUGUCUCCGGAUUCCCAGGCGUCCUCGGUGUCCUGCAGGCGUCGCGUGUAAGAAUCCCCUGGUCAUUGUCCUUCUGCCCACCCCAACCUGUGAACAUGCUUGUCCGCUUUUCCCUCGCUGUCCUCUUCUAAGCCCUCCGUCCUCUGCUGCCUCCCAGUCAUCUCAAGGUUCAGGAAGGGACCCUGCCGCCCCGGGCUUAUCCGUCCUCAGUGAUGAGGUUUUUCGGAUGAUGGUGGGGGGUUCGUUGGGUCCGGAGCCCAAUGACCAAGAAAGAAUUUUCGAAGACGCUUUUAGUGCAAAUAGAUGAUUUUAUUAAUUCACGGGGACAGGACGGGACUGUGAGGAAAGACAGAUUAUAUAUUAGGGAGUUGGAAGAGGUAAAGUCCAGGGGAAGGUUCCAAUGAGAUUUUCAUAUACUGAAGAAGAUCACAGGAUUUGGGAGGCCUAGCUAUCGUCAAGCUAAGGUUGUUUUUCCCUCUAGCAAAGCAUUAGCAUUAAGACAGUAGGGAGUUGCUGGAGAAAUGUUUGGCUAUGCCAGCCUCAAGUAAUUGUCAACAGGCUGCAGGUUAUGAGGAAAUUUAAUCCUAUGCCCCAUUUCCUGCCUUUGUUUCCCAUAUCUCUCAUGGAUGUCCUCCUACCCAAUGCCCUGGGCAUCAGGAAACCCCGCUCCACUCCCUAGGGUUGCUGUGGAGCAUUCCUCUCUCAUCACCCCAGACACAAUGCCCUUGUUCUCCUCUUCCCUCUAAUGCCUCUACAUCUGCAACAUUCAACCCUUUGGGGGCUUCCAUCCAGGGGCCCCAAACUCCCUUCGUUCCAUCAGGACCCUCCUUCCCCAGUUUACCCGGGACUAUAAAUUCUCCCCCACAACACUGGUCUUUUUCUCCUUCCUUCCUCCUCCCUCCUUUCUUGGUACACCCAAAUAAGGAACAAGCUUUGGGCGCCUGGGUGUCUCAGUAGGUGGAGGCGUCCUACUCUUGAUUUCUCUCAGGUCUUGGUGCCAUAGUCCUAAGAUUGAACUCCACCUCUGCGUGUCAGCAUAGAGCCUGCAAGGAUUCUGUCCCUCUUUCUGCCCCUCCUUUGUUCACCCACUUGUGCUCUCUCGCUCUUUCAAAAACAAACAAAAAAACUAACUCUGCACGUUCCACAACUGUAUCUUCUGUACCUGCACUAGCUUUCCAGAACUCCAGCACCAUUGCUCCUCUAGAUGUUCAUUGGUAAUACAUUAAGAGAAAAAAAGAGAGCAGCUAUCAAACAGGAACUCUCACCACUUCCAGCAACAUGGGAUCUGCACCUGUAUCUCUUCUGCCUCUGUGGAAUAAGGGACCUGAUCUCACUUGAGGCCAGGCCCAUCACCUGGAUCCUGUGCCCAUCUUCUGGAGGAAAGGUAAGCCUUUGCAAUGAUCCCCAAUUGUCACCUGUCCAUUUGUAUCUCGAUCACCUGUUAUCUGCGAGCAUCCUCCUAUUUGUCAACCCUAUUAUACGAUGAACUAAAGCAUAAAGCCAUCCCUUAUCCCAUAUCUUUCUGAGACACAGCCUGCCACAUUUCCCUUGCUGCAAACAGCAAGUCCCCCUUGUUCUGUAACCAUUUUCCUUGCUACCCACCUCAAUCCUAUUUUGUCAGCCUGCCUCCCAAAAGAAAAUAUUGGUCAAGGCCAGUGAUCUUCAUAUCGCCAAGCUCUAUGAUAAUGUCCUCUCCUCAAAUAACUGUACCUCUCACAUACCUUUGGUACAUGUCAUAAUUGCCUCGGUUUUUAUCUAUCCCUCCCUCCCUUUCUUCAAUUUUUUAUUUUUGUGUAUUUGACAAUUUACUAUCUGGGCAUUGCUUCUCCAACCCCAUUGGCCACUGUGCUCCUUGUCAGUGUUUAUUGCUCACUCCCUAUUCCACAGGGCUUUUAACAGGGCCCUUCCCAUCUACACUCUCUCUGUGGGUUGUUUCAUCCUUGGUGCCAGCACAGAGCAUGGACACAACGGGACCUCCCACGUUCGUACCUCAUGCAUCAACCUGUCCCCUGAGACCCACAUUUGUCUGUGUCUUUGCUGGAUGACCAGAAGGGAGCAGACACUUAACAUGUCCCAAGCACGCCUCUUCACGUGACGUGUUCCUUUGGUCUCCACUGCAACCCAGCACCACGUCCUCUGGAUUCGAUCUUCUGAAAACAUCCUGUAUCCAUCCAUCCCGUUCUGUGCUCAUCUACUGCUACUGUUUUCGUAUCCGAACAAUCUGCUCAUCUCUUGUCUUCACGGCAGUAACUCUGGCCUACUCCUGUUCCUUGCACAUGCUUCUUCCCUCCUUAGAACACUGGUGAUCACAGUCGUCGGUGCCUGGAAGAGUCUCUCCCUGGAUCCUUACAUGGUGGGUUCCUUCUAACCUUCUGGUUUCUGCUCCAUUAUUGCCUCCUCAGAGAGGCUCUCCGUGACCACCUUGUGUAAAGUAGGUUGUUCCUGGCCUAGGACCUGGGUUAUUUUCUUCCUAACAGCCCACUAAUUUGCUUAUUCCUUGGUUGGUUGGUUGGUUGGUUGGUUUGUAUUCUCUCACUCCCCAGAUAAGUGCUACGUGACCAGCUUGUACAAGAGCACCACACACCUAUUAAGAGAGGCUCUCAUUAAUGUUAUGGAAUGCCGAAUAAAAGGUCACCUGACACCUGUUGUUGCUUUGUUGUGGGUUACUGAAAGGGUAUCACUGGGGCGGGGGAGGGUUCCUGGAUGAUCUCCCUUUAAACCCACAGGAACACGUGUGCCCCAUGGUAACUCCUGCAGGUUUUGAGGUGUUUGUACUAAUGACACACAAAAAAACUUUCUUCUCAGUCGUUAAAUUACUUCACUUGCUGCUUAAAAUGAGAUACCCAUGAUGAAUGAGAGAAAGAAAGAGAAGAGGUUGGCCCAUCAUAAGGACACCUAGGGUGGGCAGCAGUGCUCUCAAGACUUCAUCUAGUGAACUCGCAGGCUGCAUAGCAGCAGGCGCGUUCCUUAGUGUCCCUGUGACUUGGUUUCUCCAUCUGCACUUAGGACAGUCAGGGCAUGUGCCCGUAAGGUGAAUGAAACUAUUUUCAGAACAAAGCUGGCACCAGGAGUUCUCAGGAUGUUUGAUAAAUCAUUGCUUCGCAUUGUGAGUGACUGCCUGUGGGAGAAUCAGGAGCCUGAGAAGAGCUGCUGGAGGCCAGAGUGUUCCCACGUGUAUUGUCUGUAUGGGACCCACACCCAUGGAAGUAGCUAGGGAGAAACUGUCCUGGUUAGGACCGAGCCAGGAACCUGUACUGUAACUCCAGCAGGAAGGCCACUAAAGGCAUUGUGCCCAGAAUGGGAAGUUCUCAAGCAAACACUUUCAUUUUGGGGAUUUUACCUUUAGGGCAGUUGUUCUUUAAUUCUGUUUUCCAGUCAUGUAGACUGUGCUUCCCCCGGUAAUGAGAAAAGUAGUUACUUUGAACGAUUAAACUAUGGAGCCAGUCUCCGUGCUGCUGUUUUAAUUCAUUAUGUGGUAAACAGGAGACUGGAAAAAAGGUUGCCAAACCUCCAAAUACUCCUGGACUAGUCACCUAGGAAGACACACCCAGAUUUGCCCCAGAACCCUUGGAAAACAUCACAAGCUUUGGGUAAGUUCAUCUCUGCUGCCGAGUAUCCAGGUGCUGGUGGGAGCAGAGGAUUUAGGAUUGAAGCUCUCUGGGUACUGAUGUUACAAUUGCUGACAAGCAUCUCCUAGGACCCUUUUAAAACAUGGUGUCUGUCUUUGAACUCUGAGUUUACUUUUAUAGAUCGUCCGUACUGACAAUGGCACAAGGGUGCAUGACUGACUGGUAAUCCUCUCUCUUUUAUGUUUCUUUCUCAACUAGCCAAUCCCUUUUUGCUUAAUAAUAAUAAUAAUAAUAAUAAAAGCAAAUCCUAAAGCUUUCCCUUUGGGAUCUGGAUAUACUCUAUAGGAGUCUUGUCAGCAUGAAGGUCAAGCAAAGAUGAAUGUUGUCUCCCAGUAUUGGAGGAGUACAUGACACAAAGAGGUGGCCGAUGGAGGUAAGGCUCUCAGGUCAGACUCCCCUGAAUGGGAGGGGACAAGUGAGAUGUAUCAGACAAGUGGAGGAAAGGAUUUUGCACCGAUUUGCGUUUGGGACUCAGAGGAGUUCACUUUGCAGGCUGACCCAGCAGUCUCUUUGGGCAGAGGGAUGGCUGAAGUUUAGGAACUUAGCUUUCUGGAGCUGAUCGUGGCUCCUGCUGUGCUGUGACCCUCCAGAGGCUGCAUCCCCAGGUAAGGAAAUGUGGAAAGUGAGUGACUCCCCAUCAGGGGUUAAUGAAGGAGGACUAAGCAUGCAGCAGACUAGGUGACCCUGCAGCUGAGGCUGUGGAGCAACAGCCCUUCCCACAGAAGUGAUGGACGUUGAGACCAAGAAUCCAAGAGGUCUCCACAUGCCAACACAGGUGAGCUGAGGCUGGGUCAGCCAGGAAGCAGCAGGUACUGGCCAAGAGGAGAGAGGAAAAAGCAGGUUACACCAGCCACAUGCAAGGUGGUGCAGGUCACUUCACCAGGUGGACCAGGGACACAAGAGUCCUCCUUCCCUCAGAAACCACCCAGGACACUGUGAGCAACAUAAGGAUUUCAUACACCCCAUUCCAGCACCACCCGGGGAGACUUGUAAGCCACACAUACACCUUCCCCACUUGGAGGCAAGAAGGAAGGUGUGGUGGAAAUCUGAGCGACUGAGCACUUCCUCAGCUAGACCAGUCACGUGAUUGAUAUCAAAGAUGCUUAGCAGACCAUCAAUGAAUUCAGUGGGGGUUUUGGCUCCUUUUCUGUGUAGUCCUGAGAGUGAAUAAUCAUGAAGAUCACAUCAGCCAGAGAGAAUCAAUUACCCACCGUGCCCUUGUGGUCUGAGGAGCACUGGUGAAUCUGUGAUCCCAGCUCACCAUCCCCACAGGCCCCUGCUCUGUCCACCCUCCAAUCAGUCCAUGUUAGAGGAGGAUGGGGCAUCCUUGCCUUGUCCUCUCCUUUAACUAGGACAACGUUUCAUGUCCCAGAAAUGGACCCCCAAAGCAGAGCACAGAAGGAAGAGCAGACCAGACAGACACAGCGGAGUAACUCAUAAGAGCUGUCACUGAGGUGAGCAGGUCCUUCUCAAGUCUGUCAUGCCCUCCACGAGUGAUGCCAGGCUCCAUUCUCCUUUAACAACACAGGCCCCCUUUUCCAGGGCCUGAGCCAUGCAUACAAUGCUGUAGCAUCCUUUAGGGCUGGAGAAAAUCACAAACACAUUAGAGCUACUCUGCUUUCAUUGCUUCCGUAGCCUUCUGGGACCUCACUGUUGUGCAGGAUGCUUUUUUUGGGGAGGCUGUGGUUCCUCCCCCAGUUCCUUCUGAAGGCAUCUCAGGAUUAUACCUCUCUCCUUCCAUCCUCUACGAUACACCUAUCCCUUCAGUCCUAGCCAAAGCACGUUCCCAUUCUGAAGUGAGAUCUAUCAGGCAGUGAGAGGGAGGGAGAAGGGGCUGUGUGCCGGAAGGGGGUGAGCCAUUCUGUUGUCAUGGCAACAUUCUUCUGCAGCUCCUCACUGGGUCACUCAGUCUCAGGCGUCAGCUUGCCUGAAGGUCCAGGAUAGAUGGGAAAGCACUUGUCUCCCUCUCCUUGUCUUUUUGUGAUGAGACGUUGAGAUGAUUUAAAAAGAGAAAAAUGGUUACCAGGGUAACUGAAGCUUCAUCCAUCUGACUCAAGAGGAAAAAAGCCCAAGCCACAAAAGGGAGUAGAAACUAAACCACAGGAUGUAUUGUGGGAGGCCACCCAUAGAGAAAGGGUCCUGACUGUCAAUAAAUGUGCUUGUUACACACGCACACGCGGAUACAGAGGAGCACUGCUUCCAGCCCAGAGCAGCACACUGACUGAGGCAAUAGGUACCAAGGGGGAGACCCGAUGAGACAAUGGGGAGGGAAUGCAGGCCAACCCAGAUCAAGCAAGGCAAGAGGGGCAAUGUACCUUUUCAGUAGUUAUCUACCGGUUCUUUCACGGCUUAUUUGAAAUCCGCAUUUCAUUUCCACCUAUUUGUGUAACUACUUAUUUAGGACAAACUCUAUCCUAUGUCACCUGUGUUCUCUCCCUUUUGUGGUACUAAAACCGAUCACAUAAAACGUACCAUGUUAAGCAUGUUUAAAUGAGCAUCGGUUGGUUCCAUCAGGAAGUUCACACUGUUGUGCAACUAUCGCCAGUAUCAUCCAUUUCCAAAAUUUCCAUCAUCCGACCUGUAUCUUUGUACUCUUUCAUUAAGAACCCCCCAGUACCGCUUCCCCUCCGCGCCUGGUAAUCACUACGUGUGGAGAAAAGCCAAAAAGCAGACGACUUAGAGACGCAGACAUCCAAGUUGGUGAAGAACCUCGGCAGCAGUUUAAGAAAAGCAGGUUGAAAGAAGGCAGCUCUGAGUUUUUUCAAACUCGGAAGGCGGGGGAAGAGGUGGUCCGAACUGGUACAGUGCGCAACACUGCCACCUACUGGCCAGAGAAACGGAACGACACACAUCACAAAGGAAAAUCCAUCGUUUCCUCUGCUCGCCUGUAAAGAGCCCUGCAGAUCAUAGCUGAGGUGGCAAGGAGGAAUGCUGCUGCGGGGGAGCGAAGGGUGCGGUACAAUCGAAGUGGCCCGGCCGAACGGUCUUCGGCACAAUAGCCUUCUACGGUCCCGCCCCGGAACUAAGCCAACAGAAGCAGGAAGGCCCGCGUCCGGAAGUUCCGGCGCCCGGUAGAGGAAAAGGCAGGGCUUCGGGAUGCGUUCCAAUUGUGAGGGUCUGAGCCUGGUUCCGGCGACUGAGUGAGGUCCUUGCCAGUCUGUGUGCCCAGCUCUGAAGACGGUUUCCAUACUCGUCCAAGGCCCCAAACCCCUGUUAUCCGGCUGCUAUUCCCCGAUCCCCGGACUCUCAGACCGUCCUUUGGGCGAGGCGUGUCCGAAUCCCCUGGUCAUUGUUCUGCCCACUCCAGCCUGUGAACGUUGGUCCCAAGGCACAGUUGCUAUCCUCCUCUCAGCCCUCCCUCCCCUGCUGCCUCCAGGCCUAUCAAGGCCCUAGAAGACGAACCGGCCACCCCCGGUCCUCUCCGUCCUCAGGGUUGUUCUCCCCAACACGAAUAUCCAGCUGCCCAUGGACCUGCCUUGGGCCCUGGACAUCAGGAACCCCGCUCCCCUCCCUCGAGUCGCUGUCUAGCAUUCCUCUCUCUCAUCACCCCCAAAAGGCCUGUUCUCCAGCCCCCUCCCUCUACUGCGCCUACAGCCUAGGCAUUAAGCCCUUUAGGGAACCCCCGGUUCCAUGGCCACUAGGUCAUGUCACAUUCUAUUAGGCCAGCUUAAGGGGCUAUAAAUUGUCCCGCGCAAAACAGGUCUUUGCUCCUUCCUCUCUCCUCUCCUGGUACACCCUAAUGAAGACGAAAUCCUGCAACCUCCUGACCUGUAUCUUUUCUCUAUCUGCAGUAACCUUCUAGUGCUCCAUGACCCACGCUUCUCAAGAAGUUCAAUGGUAAUACAUUAAAAAGAAGAAGAAGAAGAAGAAGAAGAAAAGAAAAAAGAGCAGUUAUCAGACAGGAACUCUCACCACUUCACAGCAACACCUGAUCUGCACCUGUAUCUCUGCUAUCCCUGUGGGAUAAAGGACCUUAUCCUACCUGAGGCCAGGCCCUUCACCUGGAUCCCAUGCCCAUCUUCUGGAGGAGGAGUAGGACUUUGCAAUGAUUCCAAUUAUCACCUAUCCAUUUAUUUCUCCAUCAUUCUGUUAUCUAUGAUACAAGAGGCAGUAAAACGUAAAGCCAUCCCUUAUCCCAUAUCUUUCUGAGACACUGCCACAUUUCGCUUGCUGUAAACAGCAAGUCUUCCCUUGUUCUGUAACCAUUUUUUUUUUUUUUUUUUUUGCUAACUUCUCCAGUCCAGCUUCUAUCAGCCUGCCCCCCAAAUGAAAACAGCUGUCAAGGGCACCAGUGAAUCCCUUUGAUGAUGUCCUCUCCUCAACCUACUGUACCUCUCAGAUAGCUCUGGUACACUUAACAAUUGCCUGGUUCUUGAAAAUGUCCCUCCCUCCCUUUCUUCUAAUUUGUAUUUUGGCCUAUUUGAAACUUUACUCUUUGGGUGAUGUUCUCGCAACCCCAGUGGCCACUGUGCUCCUUGUCAGUGUUUAUUGCUCACUCCCUAUUCCACAGGGCUUUUAACAGGGCCCUUCCCAUCUACACUCUCUCUGUGGGUUGUUUCAUCCUUGGUGCCAGCACAGAGCAUGGACACAACGGGACCUCCCACGUUCGUACCUCAUGCAUCAACCUGUCCCCUGAGACCCACAUUUGUCUGUGUCUUUGCUGGAUGACCAGAAGGGAGCAGACACUUAACAUGUCCCAAGCACGCCUCUUCACGUGACGUGUUCCUUUGGUCUCCACUGCAACCCAGCACCACGUCCUCUGGAUUCGAUCUUCUGAAAACAUCCUGUAUCCAUCCAUCCCGUUCUGUGCUCAUCUACUGCUACUGUUUUCGUAUCCGAACAAUCUGCUCAUCUCUUGUCUUCACGGCAGUAACUCUGGCCUACUCCUGUUCCUUGCACAUGCUUCUUCCCUCCUUAGAACACUGGUGAUCACAGUCGUCGCUGCCUGGAAGAGUCUCUCCCUGGAUCCUUACAUGGUGGGUUCCUUCUAACCUUCUGGUUUCUGCUCCAUUAUUGCCUCCUCAGAGAGGCUCUCCGUGACCACCUUGUGUAAAGUAGGUUGUUCCUGGCCUAGGACCUGGGUUAUUUUCUUCCUAACAGCCCACUAAUUUGCUUAUUCCUUGGUUGGUUGGUUGGUUGGUUGGUUUGUAUUCUCUCACUCCCCAGAUAAGUGCUACGUGACCAGCUUGUACAAGAGCACCACACACCUAUUAAGAGAGGCUCUCAUUAAUGUUAUGGAAUGCCGAAUAAAAGGUCACCUGACACCUGUUGUUGCUUUGUUGUGGGUUACUGAAAGGGUAUCACUGGGGCGGGGGAGGGUUCCUGGAUGAUCUCCCUUUAAACCCACAGGAACACGUGUGCCCCAUGGUAACUCCUGCAGGUUUUGAGGUGUUUGUACUAAUGACACACAAAAAAACUUUCUUCUCAGUCGUUAAAUUACUUCACUUGCUGCUUAAAAUGAGAUACCCAUGAUGAAUGAGAGAAAGAAAGAGAAGAGGUUGGCCCAUCAUAAGGACACCUAGGGUGGGCAGCAGUGCUCUCAAGACUUCAUCUAGUGAACUCGCAGGCUGCAUAGCAGCAGGCGCGUUCCUUAGUGUCCCUGUGACUUGGUUUCUCCAUCUGCACUUAGGACAGUCAGGGCAUGUGCCCGUAAGGUGAAUGAAACUAUUUUCAGAACAAAGCUGGCACCAGGAGUUCUCAGGAUGUUUGAUAAAUCAUUGCUUCGCAUUGUGAGUGACUGCCUGUGGGAGAAUCAGGAGCCUGAGAAGAGCUGCUGGAGGCCAGAGUGUUCCCACGUGUAUUGUCUGUAUGGGACCCACACCCAUGGAAGUAGCUAGGGAGAAACUGUCCUGGUUAGGACCGAGCCAGGAACCUGUACUGUAACUCCAGCAGGAAGGCCACUAAAGGCAUUGUGCCCAGAAUGGGAAGUUCUCAAGCAAACACUUUCAUUUUGGGGAUUUUACCUUUAGGGCAGUUGUUCUUUAAUUCUGUUUUCCAGUCAUGUAGACUGUGCUUCCCCCGGUAAUGAGAAAAGUAGUUACUUUGAACGAUUAAACUAUGGAGCCAGUCUCCGUGCUGCUGUUUUAAUUCAUUAUGUGGUAAACAGGAGACUGGAAAAAAGGUUGCCAAACCUCCAAAUACUCCUGGACUAGUCACCUAGGAAGACACACCCAGAUUUGCCCCAGAACCCUUGGAAAACAUCACAAGCUUUGGGUAAGUUCAUCUCUGCUGCCGAGUAUCCAGGUGCUGGUGGGAGCAGAGGAUUUAGGAUUGAAGCUCUCUGGGUACUGAUGUUACAAUUGCUGACAAGCAUCUCCUAGGACCCUUUUAAAACAUGGUGUCUGUCUUUGAACUCUGAGUUUACUUUUAUAGAUCGUCCGUACUGACAAUGGCACAAGGGUGCAUGACUGACUGGUAAUCCUCUCUCUUUUAUGUUUCUUUCUCAACUAGCCAAUCCCUUUUUGCUUAAUAAUAAUAAUAAUAAUAAUAAUAAAAGCAAAUCCUAAAGCUUUCCCUUUGGGAUCUGGAUAUACUCUAUAGGAGUCUUGUCAGCAUGAAGGUCAAGCAAAGAUGAAUGUUGUCUCCCAGUAUUGGAGGAGUACAUGACACAAAGAGGUGGCCGAUGGAGGUAAGGCUCUCAGGUCAGACUCCCCUGAAUGGGAGGGGACAAGUGAGAUGUAUCAGACAAGUGGAGGAAAGGAUUUUGCACCGAUUUGCGUUUGGGACUCAGAGGAGUUCACUUUGCAGGCUGACCCAGCAGUCUCUUUGGGCAGAGGGAUGGCUGAAGUUUAGGAACUUAGCUUUCUGGAGCUGAUCGUGGCUCCUGCUGUGCUGUGACCCUCCAGAGGCUGCAUCCCCAGGUAAGGAAAUGUGGAAAGUGAGUGACUCCCCAUCAGGGGUUAAUGAAGGAGGACUAAGCAUGCAGCAGACUAGGUGACCCUGCAGCUGAGGCUGUGGAGCAACAGCCCUUCCCACAGAAGUGAUGGACGUUGAGACCAAGAAUCCAAGAGGUCUCCACAUGCCAACACAGGUGAGCUGAGGCUGGGUCAGCCAGGAAGCAGCAGGUACUGGCCAAGAGGAGAGAGGAAAAAGCAGGUUACACCAGCCACAUGCAAGGUGGUGCAGGUCACUUCACCAGGUGGACCAGGGACACAAGAGUCCUCCUUCCCUCAGAAACCACCCAGGACACUGUGAGCAACAUAAGGAUUUCAUACACCCCAUUCCAGCACCACCCGGGGAGACUUGUAAGCCACACAUACACCUUCCCCACUUGGAGGCAAGAAGGAAGGUGUGGUGGAAAUCUGAGCGACUGAGCACUUCCUCAGCUAGACCAGUCACGUGAUUGAUAUCAAAGAUGCUUAGCAGACCAUCAAUGAAUUCAGUGGGGGUUUUGGCUCCUUUUCUGUGUAGUCCUGAGAGUGAAUAAUCAUGAAGAUCACAUCAGCCAGAGAGAAUCAAUUACCCACCGUGCCCUUGUGGUCUGAGGAGCACUGGUGAAUCUGUGAUCCCAGCUCACCAUCCCCACAGGCCCCUGCUCUGUCCACCCUCCAAUCAGUCCAUGUUAGAGGAGGAUGGGGCAUCCUUGCCUUGUCCUCUCCUUUAACUAGGACAACGUUUCAUGUCCCAGAAAUGGACCCCCAAAGCAGAGCACAGAAGGAAGAGCAGACCAGACAGACACAGCGGAGUAACUCAUAAGAGCUGUCACUGAGGUGAGCAGGUCCUUCUCAAGUCUGUCAUGCCCUCCACGAGUGAUGCCAGGCUCCAUUCUCCUUUAACAACACAGGCCCCCUUUUCCAGGGCCUGAGCCAUGCAUACAAUGCUGUAGCAUCCUUUAGGGCUGGAGAAAAUCACAAACACAUUAGAGCUACUCUGCUUUCAUUGCUUCCGUAGCCUUCUGGGACCUCACUGUUGUGCAGGAUGCUUUUUUUGGGGAGGCUGUGGUUCCUCCCCCAGUUCCUUCUGAAGGCAUCUCAGGAUUAUACCUCUCUCCUUCCAUCCUCUACGAUACACCUAUCCCUUCAGUCCUAGCCAAAGCACGUUCCCAUUCUGAAGUGAGAUCUAUCAGGCAGUGAGAGGGAGGGAGAAGGGGCUGUGUGCCGGAAGGGGGUGAGCCAUUCUGUUGUCAUGGCAACAUUCUUCUGCAGCUCCUCACUGGGUCACUCAGUCUCAGGCGUCAGCUUGCCUGAAGGUCCAGGAUAGAUGGGAAAGCACUUGUCUCCCUCUCCUUGUCUUUUUGUGAUGAGACGUUGAGAUGAUUUAAAAAGAGAAAAAUGGUUACCAGGGUAACUGAAGCUUCAUCCAUCUGACUCAAGAGGAAAAAAGCCCAAGCCACAAAAGGGAGUAGAAACUAAACCACAGGAUGUAUUGUGGGAGGCCACCCAUAGAGAAAGGGUCCUGACUGUCAAUAAAUGUGCUUGUUACACACGCACACGCGGAUACAGAGGAGCACUGCUUCCAGCCCAGAGCAGCACACUGACUGAGGCAAUAGGUACCAAGGGGGAGACCCGAUGAGACAAUGGGGAGGGAAUGCAGGCCAACCCAGAUCAAGCAAGGCAAGAGGGGCAAUGUACCUUUUCAGUAGUUAUCUACCGGUUCUUUCACGGCUUAUUUGAAAUCCGCAUUUCAUUUCCACCUAUUUGUGUAACUACUUAUUUAGGACAAACUCUAUCCUAUGUCACCUGUGUUCUCUCCCUUUUGUGGUACUAAAACCGAUCACAUAAAACGUACCAUGUUAAGCAUGUUUAAAUGAGCAUCGGUUGGUUCCAUCAGGAAGUUCACACUGUUGUGCAACUAUCGCCAGUAUCAUCCAUUUCCAAAAUUUCCAUCAUCCGACCUGUAUCUUUGUACUCUUUCAUUAAGAACCCCCCAGUACCGCUUCCCCUCCGCGCCUGGUAAUCACUACGUGUGGAGAAAAGCCAAAAAGCAGACGACUUAGAGACGCAGACAUCCAAGUUGGUGAAGAACCUCGGCAGCAGUUUAAGAAAAGCAGGUUGAAAGAAGGCAGCUCUGAGUUUUUUCAAACUCGGAAGGCGGGGGAAGAGGUGGUCCGAACUGGUACAGUGCGCAACACUGCCACCUACUGGCCAGAGAAACGGAACGACACACAUCACAAAGGAAAAUCCAUCGUUUCCUCUGCUCGCCUGUAAAGAGCCCUGCAGAUCAUAGCUGAGGUGGCAAGGAGGAAUGCUGCUGCGGGGGAGCGAAGGGUGCGGUACAAUCGAAGUGGCCCGGCCGAACGGUCUUCGGCACAAUAGCCUUCUACGGUCCCGCCCCGGAACUAAGCCAACAGAAGCAGGAAGGCCCGCGUCCGGAAGUUCCGGCGCCCGGUAGAGGAAAAGGCAGGGCUUCGGGAUGCGUUCCAAUUGUGAGGGUCUGAGCCUGGUUCCGGCGACUGAGUGAGGUCCUUGCCAGUCUGUGUGCCCAGCUCUGAAGACGGUUUCCAUACUCGUCCAAGGCCCCAAACCCCUGUUAUCCGGCUGCUAUUCCCCGAUCCCCGGACUCUCAGACCGUCCUUUGGGCGAGGCGUGUCCGAAUCCCCUGGUCAUUGUUCUGCCCACUCCAGCCUGUGAACGUUGGUCCCAAGGCACAGUUGCUAUCCUCCUCUCAGCCCUCCCUCCCCUGCUGCCUCCAGGCCUAUCAAGGCCCUAGAAGACGAACCGGCCACCCCCGGUCCUCUCCGUCCUCAGGGUUGUUCUCCCCAACACGAAUAUCCAGCUGCCCAUGGACCUGCCUUGGGCCCUGGACAUCAGGAACCCCGCUCCCCUCCCUCGAGUCGCUGUCUAGCAUUCCUCUCUCUCAUCACCCCCAAAAGGCCUGUUCUCCAGCCCCCUCCCUCUACUGCGCCUACAGCCUAGGCAUUAAGCCCUUUAGGGAACCCCCGGUUCCAUGGCCACUAGGUCAUGUCACAUUCUAUUAGGCCAGCUUAAGGGGCUAUAAAUUGUCCCGCGCAAAACAGGUCUUUGCUCCUUCCUCUCUCCUCUCCUGGUACACCCUAAUGAAGACGAAAUCCUGCAACCUCCUGACCUGUAUCUUUUCUCUAUCUGCAGUAACCUUCUAGUGCUCCAUGACCCACGCUUCUCAAGAAGUUCAAUGGUAAUACAUUAAAAAGAAGAAGAAGAAGAAGAAGAAGAAAAGAAAAAAGAGCAGUUAUCAGACAGGAACUCUCACCACUUCACAGCAACACCUGAUCUGCACCUGUAUCUCUGCUAUCCCUGUGGGAUAAAGGACCUUAUCCUACCUGAGGCCAGGCCCUUCACCUGGAUCCCAUGCCCAUCUUCUGGAGGAGGAGUAGGACUUUGCAAUGAUUCCAAUUAUCACCUAUCCAUUUAUUUCUCCAUCAUUCUGUUAUCUAUGAUACAAGAGGCAGUAAAACGUAAAGCCAUCCCUUAUCCCAUAUCUUUCUGAGACACUGCCACAUUUCGCUUGCUGUAAACAGCAAGUCUUCCCUUGUUCUGUAACCAUUUUUUUUUUUUUUUUUUUGCUAACUUCUCCAGUCCAGCUUCUAUCAGCCUGCCCCCCAAAUGAAAACAGCUGUCAAGGGCACCAGUGAAUCCCUUUGAUGAUGUCCUCUCCUCAACCUACUGUACCUCUCAGAUAGCUCUGGUACACUUAACAAUUGCCUGGUUCUUGAAAAUGUCCCUCCCUCCCUUUCUUCUAAUUUGUAUUUUGGCCUAUUUGAAACUUUACUCUUUGGGUGAUGUUCUCGCAACCCCAGUGGCCACUGUGCUCCUUGUCAGUGUUUAUUGCUCACUCCCUAUUCCACAGGGCUUUUAACAGGGCCCUUCCCAUCUACACUCUCUCUGUGGGUUGUUUCAUCCUUGGUGCCAGCACAGAGCAUGGACACAACGGGACCUCCCACGUUCGUACCUCAUGCAUCAACCUGUCCCCUGAGACCCACAUUUGUCUGUGUCUUUGCUGGAUGACCAGAAGGGAGCAGACACUUAACAUGUCCCAAGCACGCCUCUUCACGUGACGUGUUCCUUUGGUCUCCACUGCAACCCAGCACCACGUCCUCUGGAUUCGAUCUUCUGAAAACAUCCUGUAUCCAUCCAUCCCGUUCUGUGCUCAUCUACUGCUACUGUUUUCGUAUCCGAACAAUCUGCUCAUCUCUUGUCUUCACGGCAGUAACUCUGGCCUACUCCUGUUCCUUGCACAUGCUUCUUCCCUCCUUAGAACACUGGUGAUCACAGUCGUCGCUGCCUGGAAGAGUCUCUCCCUGGAUCCUUACAUGGUGGGUUCCUUCUAACCUUCUGGUUUCUGCUCCAUUAUUGCCUCCUCAGAGAGGCUCUCCGUGACCACCUUGUGUAAAGUAGGUUGUUCCUGGCCUAGGACCUGGGUUAUUUUCUUCCUAACAGCCCACUAAUUUGCUUAUUCCUUGGUUGGUUGGUUGGUUGGUUGGUUUGUAUUCUCUCACUCCCCAGAUAAGUGCUACGUGACCAGCUUGUACAAGAGCACCACACACCUAUUAAGAGAGGCUCUCAUUAAUGUUAUGGAAUGCCGAAUAAAAGGUCACCUGACACCUGUUGUUGCUUUGUUGUGGGUUACUGAAAGGGUAUCACUGGGGCGGGGGAGGGUUCCUGGAUGAUCUCCCUUUAAACCCACAGGAACACGUGUGCCCCAUGGUAACUCCUGCAGGUUUUGAGGUGUUUGUACUAAUGACACACAAAAAAACUUUCUUCUCAGUCGUUAAAUUACUUCACUUGCUGCUUAAAAUGAGAUACCCAUGAUGAAUGAGAGAAAGAAAGAGAAGAGGUUGGCCCAUCAUAAGGACACCUAGGGUGGGCAGCAGUGCUCUCAAGACUUCAUCUAGUGAACUCGCAGGCUGCAUAGCAGCAGGCGCGUUCCUUAGUGUCCCUGUGACUUGGUUUCUCCAUCUGCACUUAGGACAGUCAGGGCAUGUGCCCGUAAGGUGAAUGAAACUAUUUUCAGAACAAAGCUGGCACCAGGAGUUCUCAGGAUGUUUGAUAAAUCAUUGCUUCGCAUUGUGAGUGACUGCCUGUGGGAGAAUCAGGAGCCUGAGAAGAGCUGCUGGAGGCCAGAGUGUUCCCACGUGUAUUGUCUGUAUGGGACCCACACCCAUGGAAGUAGCUAGGGAGAAACUGUCCUGGUUAGGACCGAGCCAGGAACCUGUACUGUAACUCCAGCAGGAAGGCCACUAAAGGCAUUGUGCCCAGAAUGGGAAGUUCUCAAGCAAACACUUUCAUUUUGGGGAUUUUACCUUUAGGGCAGUUGUUCUUUAAUUCUGUUUUCCAGUCAUGUAGACUGUGCUUCCCCCGGUAAUGAGAAAAGUAGUUACUUUGAACGAUUAAACUAUGGAGCCAGUCUCCGUGCUGCUGUUUUAAUUCAUUAUGUGGUAAACAGGAGACUGGAAAAAAGGUUGCCAAACCUCCAAAUACUCCUGGACUAGUCACCUAGGAAGACACACCCAGAUUUGCCCCAGAACCCUUGGAAAACAUCACAAGCUUUGGGUAAGUUCAUCUCUGCUGCCGAGUAUCCAGGUGCUGGUGGGAGCAGAGGAUUUAGGAUUGAAGCUCUCUGGGUACUGAUGUUACAAUUGCUGACAAGCAUCUCCUAGGACCCUUUUAAAACAUGGUGUCUGUCUUUGAACUCUGAGUUUACUUUUAUAGAUCGUCCGUACUGACAAUGGCACAAGGGUGCAUGACUGACUGGUAAUCCUCUCUCUUUUAUGUUUCUUUCUCAACUAGCCAAUCCCUUUUUGCUUAAUAAUAAUAAUAAUAAUAAUAAUAAAAGCAAAUCCUAAAGCUUUCCCUUUGGGAUCUGGAUAUACUCUAUAGGAGUCUUGUCAGCAUGAAGGUCAAGCAAAGAUGAAUGUUGUCUCCCAGUAUUGGAGGAGUACAUGACACAAAGAGGUGGCCGAUGGAGGUAAGGCUCUCAGGUCAGACUCCCCUGAAUGGGAGGGGACAAGUGAGAUGUAUCAGACAAGUGGAGGAAAGGAUUUUGCACCGAUUUGCGUUUGGGACUCAGAGGAGUUCACUUUGCAGGCUGACCCAGCAGUCUCUUUGGGCAGAGGGAUGGCUGAAGUUUAGGAACUUAGCUUUCUGGAGCUGAUCGUGGCUCCUGCUGUGCUGUGACCCUCCAGAGGCUGCAUCCCCAGGUAAGGAAAUGUGGAAAGUGAGUGACUCCCCAUCAGGGGUUAAUGAAGGAGGACUAAGCAUGCAGCAGACUAGGUGACCCUGCAGCUGAGGCUGUGGAGCAACAGCCCUUCCCACAGAAGUGAUGGACGUUGAGACCAAGAAUCCAAGAGGUCUCCACAUGCCAACACAGGUGAGCUGAGGCUGGGUCAGCCAGGAAGCAGCAGGUACUGGCCAAGAGGAGAGAGGAAAAAGCAGGUUACACCAGCCACAUGCAAGGUGGUGCAGGUCACUUCACCAGGUGGACCAGGGACACAAGAGUCCUCCUUCCCUCAGAAACCACCCAGGACACUGUGAGCAACAUAAGGAUUUCAUACACCCCAUUCCAGCACCACCCGGGGAGACUUGUAAGCCACACAUACACCUUCCCCACUUGGAGGCAAGAAGGAAGGUGUGGUGGAAAUCUGAGCGACUGAGCACUUCCUCAGCUAGACCAGUCACGUGAUUGAUAUCAAAGAUGCUUAGCAGACCAUCAAUGAAUUCAGUGGGGGUUUUGGCUCCUUUUCUGUGUAGUCCUGAGAGUGAAUAAUCAUGAAGAUCACAUCAGCCAGAGAGAAUCAAUUACCCACCGUGCCCUUGUGGUCUGAGGAGCACUGGUGAAUCUGUGAUCCCAGCUCACCAUCCCCACAGGCCCCUGCUCUGUCCACCCUCCAAUCAGUCCAUGUUAGAGGAGGAUGGGGCAUCCUUGCCUUGUCCUCUCCUUUAACUAGGACAACGUUUCAUGUCCCAGAAAUGGACCCCCAAAGCAGAGCACAGAAGGAAGAGCAGACCAGACAGACACAGCGGAGUAACUCAUAAGAGCUGUCACUGAGGUGAGCAGGUCCUUCUCAAGUCUGUCAUGCCCUCCACGAGUGAUGCCAGGCUCCAUUCUCCUUUAACAACACAGGCCCCCUUUUCCAGGGCCUGAGCCAUGCAUACAAUGCUGUAGCAUCCUUUAGGGCUGGAGAAAAUCACAAACACAUUAGAGCUACUCUGCUUUCAUUGCUUCCGUAGCCUUCUGGGACCUCACUGUUGUGCAGGAUGCUUUUUUUGGGGAGGCUGUGGUUCCUCCCCCAGUUCCUUCUGAAGGCAUCUCAGGAUUAUACCUCUCUCCUUCCAUCCUCUACGAUACACCUAUCCCUUCAGUCCUAGCCAAAGCACGUUCCCAUUCUGAAGUGAGAUCUAUCAGGCAGUGAGAGGGAGGGAGAAGGGGCUGUGUGCCGGAAGGGGGUGAGCCAUUCUGUUGUCAUGGCAACAUUCUUCUGCAGCUCCUCACUGGGUCACUCAGUCUCAGGCGUCAGCUUGCCUGAAGGUCCAGGAUAGAUGGGAAAGCACUUGUCUCCCUCUCCUUGUCUUUUUGUGAUGAGACGUUGAGAUGAUUUAAAAAGAGAAAAAUGGUUACCAGGGUAACUGAAGCUUCAUCCAUCUGACUCAAGAGGAAAAAAGCCCAAGCCACAAAAGGGAGUAGAAACUAAACCACAGGAUGUAUUGUGGGAGGCCACCCAUAGAGAAAGGGUCCUGACUGUCAAUAAAUGUGCUUGUUACACACGCACACGCGGAUACAGAGGAGCACUGCUUCCAGCCCAGAGCAGCACACUGACUGAGGCAAUAGGUACCAAGGGGGAGACCCGAUGAGACAAUGGGGAGGGAAUGCAGGCCAACCCAGAUCAAGCAAGGCAAGAGGGGCAAUGUACCUUUUCAGUAGUUAUCUACCGGUUCUUUCACGGCUUAUUUGAAAUCCGCAUUUCAUUUCCACCUAUUUGUGUAACUACUUAUUUAGGACAAACUCUAUCCUAUGUCACCUGUGUUCUCUCCCUUUUGUGGUACUAAAACCGAUCACAUAAAACGUACCAUGUUAAGCAUGUUUAAAUGAGCAUCGGUUGGUUCCAUCAGGAAGUUCACACUGUUGUGCAACUAUCGCCAGUAUCAUCCAUUUCCAAAAUUUCCAUCAUCCGACCUGUAUCUUUGUACUCUUUCAUUAAGAACCCCCCAGUACCGCUUCCCCUCCGCGCCUGGUAAUCACUACGUGUGGAGAAAAGCCAAAAAGCAGACGACUUAGAGACGCAGACAUCCAAGUUGGUGAAGAACCUCGGCAGCAGUUUAAGAAAAGCAGGUUGAAAGAAGGCAGCUCUGAGUUCUUUCAAACUCGGAAGGCGGGGGAAGAGGUGGUCCGAACUGGUACAGUGCGCAACACUGCCACCUACUGGCCAGAGAAACGGAACGACACACAUCACAAAGGAAAAUCCAUCGUUUCCUCUGCUCGCCUGUAAAGAGCCCUGCAGAUCAUAGCUGAGGUGGCAAGGAGGAAUGCUGCUGCGGGGGAGCGAAGGGUGCGGUACAAUCGAAGUGGCCCGGCCGAACGGUCUUCGGCACAAUAGCCUUCUACGGUCCCGCCCCGGAACUAAGCCAACAGAAGCAGGAAGGCCCGCGUCCGGAAGUUCCGGCGCCCGGUAGAGGAAAAGGCAGGGCUUCGGGAUGCGUUCCAAUUGUGAGGGUCUGAGCCUGGUUCCGGCGACUGAGUGAGGUCCUUGCCAGUCUGUGUGCCCAGCUCUGAAGACGGUUUCCAUACUCGUCCAAGGCCCCAAACCCCUGUUAUCCGGCUGCUAUUCCCCGAUCCCCGGACUCUCAGACCGUCCUUUGGGCGAGGCGUGUCCGAAUCCCCUGGUCAUUGUUCUGCCCACUCCAGCCUGUGAACGUUGGUCCCAAGGCACAGUUGCUAUCCUCCUCUCAGCCCUCCCUCCCCUGCUGCCUCCAGGCCUAUCAAGGCCCUAGAAGACGAACCGGCCACCCCCGGUCCUCUCCGUCCUCAGGGUUGUUCUCCCCAACACGAAUAUCCAGCUGCCCAUGGACCUGCCUUGGGCCCUGGACAUCAGGAACCCCGCUCCCCUCCCUCGAGUCGCUGUCUAGCAUUCCUCUCUCUCAUCACCCCCAAAAGGCCUGUUCUCCAGCCCCCUCCCUCUACUGCGCCUACAGCCUAGGCAUUAAGCCCUUUAGGGAACCCCCGGUUCCAUGGCCACUAGGUCAUGUCACAUUCUAUUAGGCCAGCUUAAGGGGCUAUAAAUUGUCCCGCGCAAAACAGGUCUUUGCUCCUUCCUCUCUCCUCUCCUGGUACACCCUAAUGAAGACGAAAUCCUGCAACCUCCUGACCUGUAUCUUUUCUCUAUCUGCAGUAACCUUCUAGUGCUCCAUGACCCACGCUUCUCAAGAAGUUCAAUGGUAAUACAUUAAAAAGAAGAAGAAGAAGAAGAAGAAGAAAAGAAAAAAGAGCAGUUAUCAGACAGGAACUCUCACCACUUCACAGCAACACCUGAUCUGCACCUGUAUCUCUGCUAUCCCUGUGGGAUAAAGGACCUUAUCCUACCUGAGGCCAGGCCCUUCACCUGGAUCCCAUGCCCAUCUUCUGGAGGAGGAGUAGGACUUUGCAAUGAUUCCAAUUAUCACCUAUCCAUUUAUUUCUCCAUCAUUCUGUUAUCUAUGAUACAAGAGGCAGUAAAACGUAAAGCCAUCCCUUAUCCCAUAUCUUUCUGAGACACUGCCACAUUUCGCUUGCUGUAAACAGCAAGUCUUCCCUUGUUCUGUAACCAUUUUUUUUUUUUUUUUUUGCUAACUUCUCCAGUCCAGCUUCUAUCAGCCUGCCCCCCAAAUGAAAACAGCUGUCAAGGGCACCAGUGAAUCCCUUUGAUGAUGUCCUCUCCUCAACCUACUGUACCUCUCAGAUAGCUCUGGUACACUUAACAAUUGCCUGGUUCUUGAAAAUGUCCCUCCCUCCCUUUCUUCUAAUUUGUAUUUUGGCCUAUUUGAAACUUUACUCUUUGGGUGAUGUUCUCGCAACCCCAGUGGCCACUGUGCUCCUUGUCAGUGUUUAUUGCUCACUCCCUAUUCCACAGGGCUUUUAACAGGGCCCUUCCCAUCUACACUCUCUCUGUGGGUUGUUUCAUCCUUGGUGCCAGCACAGAGCAUGGACACAACGGGACCUCCCACGUUCGUACCUCAUGCAUCAACCUGUCCCCUGAGACCCACAUUUGUCUGUGUCUUUGCUGGAUGACCAGAAGGGAGCAGACACUUAACAUGUCCCAAGCACGCCUCUUCACGUGACGUGUUCCUUUGGUCUCCACUGCAACCCAGCACCACGUCCUCUGGAUUCGAUCUUCUGAAAACAUCCUGUAUCCAUCCAUCCCGUUCUGUGCUCAUCUACUGCUACUGUUUUCGUAUCCGAACAAUCUGCUCAUCUCUUGUCUUCACGGCAGUAACUCUGGCCUACUCCUGUUCCUUGCACAUGCUUCUUCCCUCCUUAGAACACUGGUGAUCACAGUCGUCGCUGCCUGGAAGAGUCUCUCCCUGGAUCCUUACAUGGUGGGUUCCUUCUAACCUUCUGGUUUCUGCUCCAUUAUUGCCUCCUCAGAGAGGCUCUCCGUGACCACCUUGUGUAAAGUAGGUUGUUCCUGGCCUAGGACCUGGGUUAUUUUCUUCCUAACAGCCCACUAAUUUGCUUAUUCCUUGGUUGGUUGGUUGGUUGGUUGGUUUGUAUUCUCUCACUCCCCAGAUAAGUGCUACGUGACCAGCUUGUACAAGAGCACCACACACCUAUUAAGAGAGGCUCUCAUUAAUGUUAUGGAAUGCCGAAUAAAAGGUCACCUGACACCUGUUGUUGCUUUGUUGUGGGUUACUGAAAGGGUAUCACUGGGGCGGGGGAGGGUUCCUGGAUGAUCUCCCUUUAAACCCACAGGAACACGUGUGCCCCAUGGUAACUCCUGCAGGUUUUGAGGUGUUUGUACUAAUGACACACAAAAAAACUUUCUUCUCAGUCGUUAAAUUACUUCACUUGCUGCUUAAAAUGAGAUACCCAUGAUGAAUGAGAGAAAGAAAGAGAAGAGGUUGGCCCAUCAUAAGGACACCUAGGGUGGGCAGCAGUGCUCUCAAGACUUCAUCUAGUGAACUCGCAGGCUGCAUAGCAGCAGGCGCGUUCCUUAGUGUCCCUGUGACUUGGUUUCUCCAUCUGCACUUAGGACAGUCAGGGCAUGUGCCCGUAAGGUGAAUGAAACUAUUUUCAGAACAAAGCUGGCACCAGGAGUUCUCAGGAUGUUUGAUAAAUCAUUGCUUCGCAUUGUGAGUGACUGCCUGUGGGAGAAUCAGGAGCCUGAGAAGAGCUGCUGGAGGCCAGAGUGUUCCCACGUGUAUUGUCUGUAUGGGACCCACACCCAUGGAAGUAGCUAGGGAGAAACUGUCCUGGUUAGGACCGAGCCAGGAACCUGUACUGUAACUCCAGCAGGAAGGCCACUAAAGGCAUUGUGCCCAGAAUGGGAAGUUCUCAAGCAAACACUUUCAUUUUGGGGAUUUUACCUUUAGGGCAGUUGUUCUUUAAUUCUGUUUUCCAGUCAUGUAGACUGUGCUUCCCCCGGUAAUGAGAAAAGUAGUUACUUUGAACGAUUAAACUAUGGAGCCAGUCUCCGUGCUGCUGUUUUAAUUCAUUAUGUGGUAAACAGGAGACUGGAAAAAAGGUUGCCAAACCUCCAAAUACUCCUGGACUAGUCACCUAGGAAGACACACCCAGAUUUGCCCCAGAACCCUUGGAAAACAUCACAAGCUUUGGGUAAGUUCAUCUCUGCUGCCGAGUAUCCAGGUGCUGGUGGGAGCAGAGGAUUUAGGAUUGAAGCUCUCUGGGUACUGAUGUUACAAUUGCUGACAAGCAUCUCCUAGGACCCUUUUAAAACAUGGUGUCUGUCUUUGAACUCUGAGUUUACUUUUAUAGAUCGUCCGUACUGACAAUGGCACAAGGGUGCAUGACUGACUGGUAAUCCUCUCUCUUUUAUGUUUCUUUCUCAACUAGCCAAUCCCUUUUUGCUUAAUAAUAAUAAUAAUAAUAAUAAUAAAAGCAAAUCCUAAAGCUUUCCCUUUGGGAUCUGGAUAUACUCUAUAGGAGUCUUGUCAGCAUGAAGGUCAAGCAAAGAUGAAUGUUGUCUCCCAGUAUUGGAGGAGUACAUGACACAAAGAGGUGGCCGAUGGAGGUAAGGCUCUCAGGUCAGACUCCCCUGAAUGGGAGGGGACAAGUGAGAUGUAUCAGACAAGUGGAGGAAAGGAUUUUGCACCGAUUUGCGUUUGGGACUCAGAGGAGUUCACUUUGCAGGCUGACCCAGCAGUCUCUUUGGGCAGAGGGAUGGCUGAAGUUUAGGAACUUAGCUUUCUGGAGCUGAUCGUGGCUCCUGCUGUGCUGUGACCCUCCAGAGGCUGCAUCCCCAGGUAAGGAAAUGUGGAAAGUGAGUGACUCCCCAUCAGGGGUUAAUGAAGGAGGACUAAGCAUGCAGCAGACUAGGUGACCCUGCAGCUGAGGCUGUGGAGCAACAGCCCUUCCCACAGAAGUGAUGGACGUUGAGACCAAGAAUCCAAGAGGUCUCCACAUGCCAACACAGGUGAGCUGAGGCUGGGUCAGCCAGGAAGCAGCAGGUACUGGCCAAGAGGAGAGAGGAAAAAGCAGGUUACACCAGCCACAUGCAAGGUGGUGCAGGUCACUUCACCAGGUGGACCAGGGACACAAGAGUCCUCCUUCCCUCAGAAACCACCCAGGACACUGUGAGCAACAUAAGGAUUUCAUACACCCCAUUCCAGCACCACCCGGGGAGACUUGUAAGCCACACAUACACCUUCCCCACUUGGAGGCAAGAAGGAAGGUGUGGUGGAAAUCUGAGCGACUGAGCACUUCCUCAGCUAGACCAGUCACGUGAUUGAUAUCAAAGAUGCUUAGCAGACCAUCAAUGAAUUCAGUGGGGGUUUUGGCUCCUUUUCUGUGUAGUCCUGAGAGUGAAUAAUCAUGAAGAUCACAUCAGCCAGAGAGAAUCAAUUACCCACCGUGCCCUUGUGGUCUGAGGAGCACUGGUGAAUCUGUGAUCCCAGCUCACCAUCCCCACAGGCCCCUGCUCUGUCCACCCUCCAAUCAGUCCAUGUUAGAGGAGGAUGGGGCAUCCUUGCCUUGUCCUCUCCUUUAACUAGGACAACGUUUCAUGUCCCAGAAAUGGACCCCCAAAGCAGAGCACAGAAGGAAGAGCAGACCAGACAGACACAGCGGAGUAACUCAUAAGAGCUGUCACUGAGGUGAGCAGGUCCUUCUCAAGUCUGUCAUGCCCUCCACGAGUGAUGCCAGGCUCCAUUCUCCUUUAACAACACAGGCCCCCUUUUCCAGGGCCUGAGCCAUGCAUACAAUGCUGUAGCAUCCUUUAGGGCUGGAGAAAAUCACAAACACAUUAGAGCUACUCUGCUUUCAUUGCUUCCGUAGCCUUCUGGGACCUCACUGUUGUGCAGGAUGCUUUUUUUGGGGAGGCUGUGGUUCCUCCCCCAGUUCCUUCUGAAGGCAUCUCAGGAUUAUACCUCUCUCCUUCCAUCCUCUACGAUACACCUAUCCCUUCAGUCCUAGCCAAAGCACGUUCCCAUUCUGAAGUGAGAUCUAUCAGGCAGUGAGAGGGAGGGAGAAGGGGCUGUGUGCCGGAAGGGGGUGAGCCAUUCUGUUGUCAUGGCAACAUUCUUCUGCAGCUCCUCACUGGGUCACUCAGUCUCAGGCGUCAGCUUGCCUGAAGGUCCAGGAUAGAUGGGAAAGCACUUGUCUCCCUCUCCUUGUCUUUUUGUGAUGAGACGUUGAGAUGAUUUAAAAAGAGAAAAAUGGUUACCAGGGUAACUGAAGCUUCAUCCAUCUGACUCAAGAGGAAAAAAGCCCAAGCCACAAAAGGGAGUAGAAACUAAACCACAGGAUGUAUUGUGGGAGGCCACCCAUAGAGAAAGGGUCCUGACUGUCAAUAAAUGUGCUUGUUACACACGCACACGCGGAUACAGAGGAGCACUGCUUCCAGCCCAGAGCAGCACACUGACUGAGGCAAUAGGUACCAAGGGGGAGACCCGAUGAGACAAUGGGGAGGGAAUGCAGGCCAACCCAGAUCAAGCAAGGCAAGAGGGGCAAUGUACCUUUUCAGUAGUUAUCUACCGGUUCUUUCACGGCUUAUUUGAAAUCCGCAUUUCAUUUCCACCUAUUUGUGUAACUACUUAUUUAGGACAAACUCUAUCCUAUGUCACCUGUGUUCUCUCCCUUUUGUGGUACUAAAACCGAUCACAUAAAACGUACCAUGUUAAGCAUGUUUAAAUGAGCAUCGGUUGGUUCCAUCAGGAAGUUCACACUGUUGUGCAACUAUCGCCAGUAUCAUCCAUUUCCAAAAUUUCCAUCAUCCGACCUGUAUCUUUGUACUCUUUCAUUAAGAACCCCCCAGUACCGCUUCCCCUCCGCGCCUGGUAAUCACUACGUGUGGAGAAAAGCCAAAAAGCAGACGACUUAGAGACGCAGACAUCCAAGUUGGUGAAGAACCUCGGCAGCAGUUUAAGAAAAGCAGGUUGAAAGAAGGCAGCUCUGAGUUCUUUCAAACUCGGAAGGCGGGGGAAGAGGUGGUCCGAACUGGUACAGUGCGCAACACUGCCACCUACUGGCCAGAGAAACGGAACGACACACAUCACAAAGGAAAAUCCAUCGUUUCCUCUGCUCGCCUGUAAAGAGCCCUGCAGAUCAUAGCUGAGGUGGCAAGGAGGAAUGCUGCUGCGGGGGAGCGAAGGGUGCGGUACAAUCGAAGUGGCCCGGCCGAACGGUCUUCGGCACAAUAGCCUUCUACGGUCCCGCCCCGGAACUAAGCCAACAGAAGCAGGAAGGCCCGCGUCCGGAAGUUCCGGCGCCCGGUAGAGGAAAAGGCAGGGCUUCGGGAUGCGUUCCAAUUGUGAGGGUCUGAGCCUGGUUCCGGCGACUGAGUGAGGUCCUUGCCAGUCUGUGUGCCCAGCUCUGAAGACGGUUUCCAUACUCGUCCAAGGCCCCAAACCCCUGUUAUCCGGCUGCUAUUCCCCGAUCCCCGGACUCUCAGACCGUCCUUUGGGCGAGGCGUGUCCGAAUCCCCUGGUCAUUGUUCUGCCCACUCCAGCCUGUGAACGUUGGUCCCAAGGCACAGUUGCUAUCCUCCUCUCAGCCCUCCCUCCCCUGCUGCCUCCAGGCCUAUCAAGGCCCUAGAAGACGAACCGGCCACCCCCGGUCCUCUCCGUCCUCAGGGUUGUUCUCCCCAACACGAAUAUCCAGCUGCCCAUGGACCUGCCUUGGGCCCUGGACAUCAGGAACCCCGCUCCCCUCCCUCGAGUCGCUGUCUAGCAUUCCUCUCUCUCAUCACCCCCAAAAGGCCUGUUCUCCAGCCCCCUCCCUCUACUGCGCCUACAGCCUAGGCAUUAAGCCCUUUAGGGAACCCCCGGUUCCAUGGCCACUAGGUCAUGUCACAUUCUAUUAGGCCAGCUUAAGGGGCUAUAAAUUGUCCCGCGCAAAACAGGUCUUUGCUCCUUCCUCUCUCCUCUCCUGGUACACCCUAAUGAAGACGAAAUCCUGCAACCUCCUGACCUGUAUCUUUUCUCUAUCUGCAGUAACCUUCUAGUGCUCCAUGACCCACGCUUCUCAAGAAGUUCAAUGGUAAUACAUUAAAAAGAAGAAGAAGAAGAAGAAGAAGAAGAAAAGAAAAAAGAGCAGUUAUCAGACAGGAACUCUCACCACUUCACAGCAACACCUGAUCUGCACCUGUAUCUCUGCUAUCCCUGUGGGAUAAAGGACCUUAUCCUACCUGAGGCCAGGCCCUUCACCUGGAUCCCAUGCCCAUCUUCUGGAGGAGGAGUAGGACUUUGCAAUGAUUCCAAUUAUCACCUAUCCAUUUAUUUCUCCAUCAUUCUGUUAUCUAUGAUACAAGAGGCAGUAAAACGUAAAGCCAUCCCUUAUCCCAUAUCUUUCUGAGACACUGCCACAUUUCGCUUGCUGUAAACAGCAAGUCUUCCCUUGUUCUGUAACCAUUUUUUUUUUUUUUUUGCUAACUUCUCCAGUCCAGCUUCUAUCAGCCUGCCCCCCAAAUGAAAACAGCUGUCAAGGGCACCAGUGAAUCCCUUUGAUGAUGUCCUCUCCUCAACCUACUGUACCUCUCAGAUAGCUCUGGUACACUUAACAAUUGCCUGGUUCUUGAAAAUGUCCCUCCCUCCCUUUCUUCUAAUUUGUAUUUUGGCCUAUUUGAAACUUUACUCUUUGGGUGAUGUUCUCGCAACCCCAGUGGCCACUGUGCUCCUUGUCAGUGUUUAUUGCUCACUCCCUAUUCCACAGGGCUUUUAACAGGGCCCUUCCCAUCUACACUCUCUCUGUGGGUUGUUUCAUCCUUGGUGCCAGCACAGAGCAUGGACACAACGGGACCUCCCACGUUCGUACCUCAUGCAUCAACCUGUCCCCUGAGACCCACAUUUGUCUGUGUCUUUGCUGGAUGACCAGAAGGGAGCAGACACUUAACAUGUCCCAAGCACGCCUCUUCACGUGACGUGUUCCUUUGGUCUCCACUGCAACCCAGCACCACGUCCUCUGGAUUCGAUCUUCUGAAAACAUCCUGUAUCCAUCCAUCCCGUUCUGUGCUCAUCUACUGCUACUGUUUUCGUAUCCGAACAAUCUGCUCAUCUCUUGUCUUCACGGCAGUAACUCUGGCCUACUCCUGUUCCUUGCACAUGCUUCUUCCCUCCUUAGAACACUGGUGAUCACAGUCGUCGCUGCCUGGAAGAGUCUCUCCCUGGAUCCUUACAUGGUGGGUUCCUUCUAACCUUCUGGUUUCUGCUCCAUUAUUGCCUCCUCAGAGAGGCUCUCCGUGACCACCUUGUGUAAAGUAGGUUGUUCCUGGCCUAGGACCUGGGUUAUUUUCUUCCUAACAGCCCACUAAUUUGCUUAUUCCUUGGUUGGUUGGUUGGUUGGUUGGUUGGUUUGUAUUCUCUCACUCCCCAGAUAAGUGCUACGUGACCAGCUUGUACAAGAGCACCACACACCUAUUAAGAGAGGCUCUCAUUAAUGUUAUGGAAUGCCGAAUAAAAGGUCACCUGACACCUGUUGUUGCUUUGUUGUGGGUUACUGAAAGGGUAUCACUGGGGCGGGGGAGGGUUCCUGGAUGAUCUCCCUUUAAACCCACAGGAACACGUGUGCCCCAUGGUAACUCCUGCAGGUUUUGAGGUGUUUGUACUAAUGACACACAAAAAAACUUUCUUCUCAGUCGUUAAAUUACUUCACUUGCUGCUUAAAAUGAGAUACCCAUGAUGAAUGAGAGAAAGAAAGAGAAGAGGUUGGCCCAUCAUAAGGACACCUAGGGUGGGCAGCAGUGCUCUCAAGACUUCAUCUAGUGAACUCGCAGGCUGCAUAGCAGCAGGCGCGUUCCUUAGUGUCCCUGUGACUUGGUUUCUCCAUCUGCACUUAGGACAGUCAGGGCAUGUGCCCGUAAGGUGAAUGAAACUAUUUUCAGAACAAAGCUGGCACCAGGAGUUCUCAGGAUGUUUGAUAAAUCAUUGCUUCGCAUUGUGAGUGACUGCCUGUGGGAGAAUCAGGAGCCUGAGAAGAGCUGCUGGAGGCCAGAGUGUUCCCACGUGUAUUGUCUGUAUGGGACCCACACCCAUGGAAGUAGCUAGGGAGAAACUGUCCUGGUUAGGACCGAGCCAGGAACCUGUACUGUAACUCCAGCAGGAAGGCCACUAAAGGCAUUGUGCCCAGAAUGGGAAGUUCUCAAGCAAACACUUUCAUUUUGGGGAUUUUACCUUUAGGGCAGUUGUUCUUUAAUUCUGUUUUCCAGUCAUGUAGACUGUGCUUCCCCCGGUAAUGAGAAAAGUAGUUACUUUGAACGAUUAAACUAUGGAGCCAGUCUCCGUGCUGCUGUUUUAAUUCAUUAUGUGGUAAACAGGAGACUGGAAAAAAGGUUGCCAAACCUCCAAAUACUCCUGGACUAGUCACCUAGGAAGACACACCCAGAUUUGCCCCAGAACCCUUGGAAAACAUCACAAGCUUUGGGUAAGUUCAUCUCUGCUGCCGAGUAUCCAGGUGCUGGUGGGAGCAGAGGAUUUAGGAUUGAAGCUCUCUGGGUACUGAUGUUACAAUUGCUGACAAGCAUCUCCUAGGACCCUUUUAAAACAUGGUGUCUGUCUUUGAACUCUGAGUUUACUUUUAUAGAUCGUCCGUACUGACAAUGGCACAAGGGUGCAUGACUGACUGGUAAUCCUCUCUCUUUUAUGUUUCUUUCUCAACUAGCCAAUCCCUUUUUGCUUAAUAAUAAUAAUAAUUAAUAAUAAUAAAAGCAAAUCCUAAAGCUUUCCCUUUGGGAUCUGGAUAUACUCUAUAGGAGUCUUGUCAGCAUGAAGGUCAAGCAAAGAUGAAUGUUGUCUCCCAGUAUUGGAGGAGUACAUGACACAAAGAGGUGGCCGAUGGAGGUAAGGCUCUCAGGUCAGACUCCCCUGAAUGGGAGGGGACAAGUGAGAUGUAUCAGACAAGUGGAGGAAAGGAUUUUGCACCGAUUUGCGUUUGGGACUCAGAGGAGUUCACUUUGCAGGCUGACCCAGCAGUCUCUUUGGGCAGAGGGAUGGCUGAAGUUUAGGAACUUAGCUUUCUGGAGCUGAUCGUGGCUCCUGCUGUGCUGUGACCCUCCAGAGGCUGCAUCCCCAGGUAAGGAAAUGUGGAAAGUGAGUGACUCCCCAUCAGGGGUUAAUGAAGGAGGACUAAGCAUGCAGCAGACUAGGUGACCCUGCAGCUGAGGCUGUGGAGCAACAGCCCUUCCCACAGAAGUGAUGGACGUUGAGACCAAGAAUCCAAGAGGUCUCCACAUGCCAACACAGGUGAGCUGAGGCUGGGUCAGCCAGGAAGCAGCAGGUACUGGCCAAGAGGAGAGAGGAAAAAGCAGGUUACACCAGCCACAUGCAAGGUGGUGCAGGUCACUUCACCAGGUGGACCAGGGACACAAGAGUCCUCCUUCCCUCAGAAACCACCCAGGACACUGUGAGCAACAUAAGGAUUUCAUACACCCCAUUCCAGCACCACCCGGGGAGACUUGUAAGCCACACAUACACCUUCCCCACUUGGAGGCAAGAAGGAAGGUGUGGUGGAAAUCUGAGCGACUGAGCACUUCCUCAGCUAGACCAGUCACGUGAUUGAUAUCAAAGAUGCUUAGCAGACCAUCAAUGAAUUCAGUGGGGGUUUUGGCUCCUUUUCUGUGUAGUCCUGAGAGUGAAUAAUCAUGAAGAUCACAUCAGCCAGAGAGAAUCAAUUACCCACCGUGCCCUUGUGGUCUGAGGAGCACUGGUGAAUCUGUGAUCCCAGCUCACCAUCCCCACAGGCCCCUGCUCUGUCCACCCUCCAAUCAGUCCAUGUUAGAGGAGGAUGGGGCAUCCUUGCCUUGUCCUCUCCUUUAACUAGGACAACGUUUCAUGUCCCAGAAAUGGACCCCCAAAGCAGAGCACAGAAGGAAGAGCAGACCAGACAGACACAGCGGAGUAACUCAUAAGAGCUGUCACUGAGGUGAGCAGGUCCUUCUCAAGUCUGUCAUGCCCUCCACGAGUGAUGCCAGGCUCCAUUCUCCUUUAACAACACAGGCCCCCUUUUCCAGGGCCUGAGCCAUGCAUACAAUGCUGUAGCAUCCUUUAGGGCUGGAGAAAAUCACAAACACAUUAGAGCUACUCUGCUUUCAUUGCUUCCGUAGCCUUCUGGGACCUCACUGUUGUGCAGGAUGCUUUUUUUGGGGAGGCUGUGGUUCCUCCCCCAGUUCCUUCUGAAGGCAUCUCAGGAUUAUACCUCUCUCCUUCCAUCCUCUACGAUACACCUAUCCCUUCAGUCCUAGCCAAAGCACGUUCCCAUUCUGAAGUGAGAUCUAUCAGGCAGUGAGAGGGAGGGAGAAGGGGCUGUGUGCCGGAAGGGGGUGAGCCAUUCUGUUGUCAUGGCAACAUUCUUCUGCAGCUCCUCACUGGGUCACUCAGUCUCAGGCGUCAGCUUGCCUGAAGGUCCAGGAUAGAUGGGAAAGCACUUGUCUCCCUCUCCUUGUCUUUUUGUGAUGAGACGUUGAGAUGAUUUAAAAAGAGAAAAAUGGUUACCAGGGUAACUGAAGCUUCAUCCAUCUGACUCAAGAGGAAAAAAGCCCAAGCCACAAAAGGGAGUAGAAACUAAACCACAGGAUGUAUUGUGGGAGGCCACCCAUAGAGAAAGGGUCCUGACUGUCAAUAAAUGUGCUUGUUACACACGCACACGCGGAUACAGAGGAGCACUGCUUCCAGCCCAGAGCAGCACACUGACUGAGGCAAUAGGUACCAAGGGGGAGACCCGAUGAGACAAUGGGGAGGGAAUGCAGGCCAACCCAGAUCAAGCAAGGCAAGAGGGGCAAUGUACCUUUUCAGUAGUUAUCUACCGGUUCUUUCACGGCUUAUUUGAAAUCCGCAUUUCAUUUCCACCUAUUUGUGUAACUACUUAUUUAGGACAAACUCUAUCCUAUGUCACCUGUGUUCUCUCCCUUUUGUGGUACUAAAACCGAUCACAUAAAACGUACCAUGUUAAGCAUGUUUAAAUGAGCGUCGGUUGGUUCCAUCAGGAAGUUCACACUGUUGUGCAACUAUCGCCAGUAUCAUCCAUUUCCAAAAUUUCCAUCAUCCGACCUGUAUCUUUGUACUCUUUCAUUAAGAACCCCCCAGUACCGCUUCCCCUCCGCGCCUGGUAAUCACUACGUGUGGAGAAAAGCCAAAAAGCAGACGACUUAGAGACGCAGACAUCCAAGUUGGUGAAGAACCUCGGCAGCAGUUUAAGAAAAGCAGGUUGAAAGAAGGCAGCUCUGAGUUCUUUCAAACUCGGAAGGCGGGGGAAGAGGUGGUCCGAACUGGUACAGUGCGCAACACUGCCACCUACUGGCCAGAGAAACGGAACGACACACAUCACAAAGGAAAAUCCAUCGUUUCCUCUGCUCGCCUGUAAAGAGCCCUGCAGAUCAUAGCUGAGGUGGCAAGGAGGAAUGCUGCUGCGGGGGAGCGAAGGGUGCGGUACAAUCGAAGUGGCCCGGCCGAACGGUCUUCGGCACAAUAGCCUUCUACGGUCCCGCCCCGGAACUAAGCCAACAGAAGCAGGAAGGCCCGCGUCCGGAAGUUCCGGCGCCCGGUAGAGGAAAAGGCAGGGCUUCGGGAUGCGUUCCAAUUGUGAGGGUCUGAGCCUGGUUCCGGCGACUGAGUGAGGUCCUUGCCAGUCUGUGUGCCCAGCUCUGAAGACGGUUUCCAUACUCGUCCAAGGCCCCAAACCCCUGUUAUCCGGCUGCUAUUCCCCGAUCCCCGGACUCUCAGACCGUCCUUUGGGCGAGGCGUGUCCGAAUCCCCUGGUCAUUGUUCUGCCCACUCCAGCCUGUGAACGUUGGUCCCAAGGCACAGUUGCUAUCCUCCUCUCAGCCCUCCCUCCCCUGCUGCCUCCAGGCCUAUCAAGGCCCUAGAAGACGAACCGGCCACCCCCGGUCCUCUCCGUCCUCAGGGUUGUUCUCCCCAACACGAAUAUCCAGCUGCCCAUGGACCUGCCUUGGGCCCUGGACAUCAGGAACCCCGCUCCCCUCCCUGGAGUCGCUGUCUAGCAUUCCUCUCUCUCAUCACCCCCAAAAGGCCUGUUCUCCAGCCCCCUCCCUCUACUGCGCCUACAGCCUAGGCAUUAAGCCCUUUAGGGAACCCCCGGUUCCAUGGCCACUAGGUCAUGUCACAUUCUAUUAGGCCAGCUUAAGGGGCUAUAAAUUGUCCCGCGCAAAACAGGUCUUUGCUCCUUCCUCUCUCCUCUCCUGGUACACCCUAAUGAAGACGAAAUCCUGCAACCUCCUGACCUGUAUCUUUUCUCUAUCUGCAGUAACCUUCUAGUGCUCCAUGACCCACGCUUCUCAAGAAGUUCAAUGGUAAUACAUUAAAAAGAAGAAGAAGAAGAAGAAGAAGAAGAAAAGAAAAAAGAGCAGUUAUCAGACAGGAACUCUCACCACUUCACAGCAACACCUGAUCUGCACCUGUAUCUCUGCUAUCCCUGUGGGAUAAAGGACCUUAUCCUACCUGAGGCCAGGCCCUUCACCUGGAUCCCAUGCCCAUCUUCUGGAGGAGGAGUAGGACUUUGCAAUGAUUCCAAUUAUCACCUAUCCAUUUAUUUCUCCAUCAUUCUGUUAUCUAUGAUACAAGAGGCAGUAAAACGUAAAGCCAUCCCUUAUCCCAUAUCUUUCUGAGACACUGCCACAUUUCGCUUGCUGUAAACAGCAAGUCUUCCCUUGUUCUGUAACCAUUUUUUUUUUUUUUUUUGCUAACUUCUCCAGUCCAGCUUCUAUCAGCCUGCCCCCCAAAUGAAAACAGCUGUCAAGGGCACCAGUGAAUCCCUUUGAUGAUGUCCUCUCCUCAACCUACUGUACCUCUCAGAUAGCUCUGGUACACUUAACAAUUGCCUGGUUCUUGAAAAUGUCCCUCCCUCCCUUUCUUCUAAUUUGUAUUUUGGCCUAUUUGAAACUUUACUCUUUGGGUGAUGUUCUCGCAACCCCAGUGGCCACUGUGCUCCUUGUCAGUGUUUAUUGCUCACUCCCUAUUCCACAGGGCUUUUAACAGGGCCCUUCCCAUCUACACUCUCUCUGUGGGUUGUUUCAUCCUUGGUGCCAGCACAGAGCAUGGACACAACGGGACCUCCCACGUUCGUACCUCAUGCAUCAACCUGUCCCCUGAGACCCACAUUUGUCUGUGUCUUUGCUGGAUGACCAGAAGGGAGCAGACACUUAACAUGUCCCAAGCACGCCUCUUCACGUGACGUGUUCCUUUGGUCUCCACUGCAACCCAGCACCACGUCCUCUGGAUUCGAUCUUCUGAAAACAUCCUGUAUCCAUCCAUCCCGUUCUGUGCUCAUCUACUGCUACUGUUUUCGUAUCCGAACAAUCUGCUCAUCUCUUGUCUUCACGGCAGUAACUCUGGCCUACUCCUGUUCCUUGCACAUGCUUCUUCCCUCCUUAGAACACUGGUGAUCACAGUCGUCGCUGCCUGGAAGAGUCUCUCCCUGGAUCCUUACAUGGUGGGUUCCUUCUAACCUUCUGGUUUCUGCUCCAUUAUUGCCUCCUCAGAGAGGCUCUCCGUGACCACCUUGUGUAAAGUAGGUUGUUCCUGGCCUAGGACCUGGGUUAUUUUCUUCCUAACAGCCCACUAAUUUGCUUAUUCCUUGGUUGGUUGGUUGGUUGGUUGGUUUGUAUUCUCUCACUCCCCAGAUAAGUGCUACGUGACCAGCUUGUACAAGAGCACCACACACCUAUUAAGAGAGGCUCUCAUUAAUGUUAUGGAAUGCCGAAUAAAAGGUCACCUGACACCUGUUGUUGCUUUGUUGUGGGUUACUGAAAGGGUAUCACUGGGGCGGGGGAGGGUUCCUGGAUGAUCUCCCUUUAAACCCACAGGAACACGUGUGCCCCAUGGUAACUCCUGCAGGUUUUGAGGUGUUUGUACUAAUGACACACAAAAAAACUUUCUUCUCAGUCGUUAAAUUACUUCACUUGCUGCUUAAAAUGAGAUACCCAUGAUGAAUGAGAGAAAGAAAGAGAAGAGGUUGGCCCAUCAUAAGGACACCUAGGGUGGGCAGCAGUGCUCUCAAGACUUCAUCUAGUGAACUCGCAGGCUGCAUAGCAGCAGGCGCGUUCCUUAGUGUCCCUGUGACUUGGUUUCUCCAUCUGCACUUAGGACAGUCAGGGCAUGUGCCCGUAAGGUGAAUGAAACUAUUUUCAGAACAAAGCUGGCACCAGGAGUUCUCAGGAUGUUUGAUAAAUCAUUGCUUCGCAUUGUGAGUGACUGCCUGUGGGAGAAUCAGGAGCCUGAGAAGAGCUGCUGGAGGCCAGAGUGUUCCCACGUGUAUUGUCUGUAUGGGACCCACACCCAUGGAAGUAGCUAGGGAGAAACUGUCCUGGUUAGGACCGAGCCAGGAACCUGUACUGUAACUCCAGCAGGAAGGCCACUAAAGGCAUUGUGCCCAGAAUGGGAAGUUCUCAAGCAAACACUUUCAUUUUGGGGAUUUUACCUUUAGGGCAGUUGUUCUUUAAUUCUGUUUUCCAGUCAUGUAGACUGUGCUUCCCCCGGUAAUGAGAAAAGUAGUUACUUUGAACGAUUAAACUAUGGAGCCAGUCUCCGUGCUGCUGUUUUAAUUCAUUAUGUGGUAAACAGGAGACUGGAAAAAAGGUUGCCAAACCUCCAAAUACUCCUGGACUAGUCACCUAGGAAGACACACCCAGAUUUGCCCCAGAACCCUUGGAAAACAUCACAAGCUUUGGGUAAGUUCAUCUCUGCUGCCGAGUAUCCAGGUGCUGGUGGGAGCAGAGGAUUUAGGAUUGAAGCUCUCUGGGUACUGAUGUUACAAUUGCUGACAAGCAUCUCCUAGGACCCUUUUAAAACAUGGUGUCUGUCUUUGAACUCUGAGUUUACUUUUAUAGAUCGUCCGUACUGACAAUGGCACAAGGGUGCAUGACUGACUGGUAAUCCUCUCUCUUUUAUGUUUCUUUCUCAACUAGCCAAUCCCUUUUUGCUUAAUAAUAAUAAUAAUUAAUAAUAAUAAAAGCAAAUCCUAAAGCUUUCCCUUUGGGAUCUGGAUAUACUCUAUAGGAGUCUUGUCAGCAUGAAGGUCAAGCAAAGAUGAAUGUUGUCUCCCAGUAUUGGAGGAGUACAUGACACAAAGAGGUGGCCGAUGGAGGUAAGGCUCUCAGGUCAGACUCCCCUGAAUGGGAGGGGACAAGUGAGAUGUAUCAGACAAGUGGAGGAAAGGAUUUUGCACCGAUUUGCGUUUGGGACUCAGAGGAGUUCACUUUGCAGGCUGACCCAGCAGUCUCUUUGGGCAGAGGGAUGGCUGAAGUUUAGGAACUUAGCUUUCUGGAGCUGAUCGUGGCUCCUGCUGUGCUGUGACCCUCCAGAGGCUGCAUCCCCAGGUAAGGAAAUGUGGAAAGUGAGUGACUCCCCAUCAGGGGUUAAUGAAGGAGGACUAAGCAUGCAGCAGACUAGGUGACCCUGCAGCUGAGGCUGUGGAGCAACAGCCCUUCCCACAGAAGUGAUGGACGUUGAGACCAAGAAUCCAAGAGGUCUCCACAUGCCAACACAGGUGAGCUGAGGCUGGGUCAGCCAGGAAGCAGCAGGUACUGGCCAAGAGGAGAGAGGAAAAAGCAGGUUACACCAGCCACAUGCAAGGUGGUGCAGGUCACUUCACCAGGUGGACCAGGGACACAAGAGUCCUCCUUCCCUCAGAAACCACCCAGGACACUGUGAGCAACAUAAGGAUUUCAUACACCCCAUUCCAGCACCACCCGGGGAGACUUGUAAGCCACACAUACACCUUCCCCACUUGGAGGCAAGAAGGAAGGUGUGGUGGAAAUCUGAGCGACUGAGCACUUCCUCAGCUAGACCAGUCACGUGAUUGAUAUCAAAGAUGCUUAGCAGACCAUCAAUGAAUUCAGUGGGGGUUUUGGCUCCUUUUCUGUGUAGUCCUGAGAGUGAAUAAUCAUGAAGAUCACAUCAGCCAGAGAGAAUCAAUUACCCACCGUGCCCUUGUGGUCUGAGGAGCACUGGUGAAUCUGUGAUCCCAGCUCACCAUCCCCACAGGCCCCUGCUCUGUCCACCCUCCAAUCAGUCCAUGUUAGAGGAGGAUGGGGCAUCCUUGCCUUGUCCUCUCCUUUAACUAGGACAACGUUUCAUGUCCCAGAAAUGGACCCCCAAAGCAGAGCACAGAAGGAAGAGCAGACCAGACAGACACAGCGGAGUAACUCAUAAGAGCUGUCACUGAGGUGAGCAGGUCCUUCUCAAGUCUGUCAUGCCCUCCACGAGUGAUGCCAGGCUCCAUUCUCCUUUAACAACACAGGCCCCCUUUUCCAGGGCCUGAGCCAUGCAUACAAUGCUGUAGCAUCCUUUAGGGCUGGAGAAAAUCACAAACACAUUAGAGCUACUCUGCUUUCAUUGCUUCCGUAGCCUUCUGGGACCUCACUGUUGUGCAGGAUGCUUUUUUUGGGGAGGCUGUGGUUCCUCCCCCAGUUCCUUCUGAAGGCAUCUCAGGAUUAUACCUCUCUCCUUCCAUCCUCUACGAUACACCUAUCCCUUCAGUCCUAGCCAAAGCACGUUCCCAUUCUGAAGUGAGAUCUAUCAGGCAGUGAGAGGGAGGGAGAAGGGGCUGUGUGCCGGAAGGGGGUGAGCCAUUCUGUUGUCAUGGCAACAUUCUUCUGCAGCUCCUCACUGGGUCACUCAGUCUCAGGCGUCAGCUUGCCUGAAGGUCCAGGAUAGAUGGGAAAGCACUUGUCUCCCUCUCCUUGUCUUUUUGUGAUGAGACGUUGAGAUGAUUUAAAAAGAGAAAAAUGGUUACCAGGGUAACUGAAGCUUCAUCCAUCUGACUCAAGAGGAAAAAAGCCCAAGCCACAAAAGGGAGUAGAAACUAAACCACAGGAUGUAUUGUGGGAGGCCACCCAUAGAGAAAGGGUCCUGACUGUCAAUAAAUGUGCUUGUUACACACGCACACGCGGAUACAGAGGAGCACUGCUUCCAGCCCAGAGCAGCACACUGACUGAGGCAAUAGGUACCAAGGGGGAGACCCGAUGAGACAAUGGGGAGGGAAUGCAGGCCAACCCAGAUCAAGCAAGGCAAGAGGGGCAAUGUACCUUUUCAGUAGUUAUCUACCGGUUCUUUCACGGCUUAUUUGAAAUCCGCAUUUCAUUUCCACCUAUUUGUGUAACUACUUAUUUAGGACAAACUCUAUCCUAUGUCACCUGUGUUCUCUCCCUUUUGUGGUACUAAAACCGAUCACAUAAAACGUACCAUGUUAAGCAUGUUUAAAUGAGCGUCGGUUGGUUCCAUCAGGAAGUUCACACUGUUGUGCAACUAUCGCCAGUAUCAUCCAUUUCCAAAAUUUCCAUCAUCCGACCUGUAUCUUUGUACUCUUUCAUUAAGAACCCCCCAGUACCGCUUCCCCUCCGCGCCUGGUAAUCACUACGUGUGGAGAAAAGCCAAAAAGCAGACGACUUAGAGACGCAGACAUCCAAGUUGGUGAAGAACCUCGGCAGCAGUUUAAGAAAAGCAGGUUGAAAGAAGGCAGCUCUGAGUUCUUUCAAACUCGGAAGGCGGGGGAAGAGGUGGUCCGAACUGGUACAGUGCGCAACACUGCCACCUACUGGCCAGAGAAACGGAACGACACACAUCACAAAGGAAAAUCCAUCGUUUCCUCUGCUCGCCUGUAAAGAGCCCUGCAGAUCAUAGCUGAGGUGGCAAGGAGGAAUGCUGCUGCGGGGGAGCGAAGGGUGCGGUACAAUCGAAGUGGCCCGGCCGAACGGUCUUCGGCACAAUAGCCUUCUACGGUCCCGCCCCGGAACUAAGCCAACAGAAGCAGGAAGGCCCGCGUCCGGAAGUUCCGGCGCCCGGUAGAGGAAAAGGCAGGGCUUCGGGAUGCGUUCCAAUUGUGAGGGUCUGAGCCUGGUUCCGGCGACUGAGUGAGGUCCUUGCCAGUCUGUGUGCCCAGCUCUGAAGACGGUUUCCAUACUCGUCCAAGGCCCCAAACCCCUGUUAUCCGGCUGCUAUUCCCCGAUCCCCGGACUCUCAGACCGUCCUUUGGGCGAGGCGUGUCCGAAUCCCCUGGUCAUUGUUCUGCCCACUCCAGCCUGUGAACGUUGGUCCCAAGGCACAGUUGCUAUCCUCCUCUCAGCCCUCCCUCCCCUGCUGCCUCCAGGCCUAUCAAGGCCCUAGAAGACGAACCGGCCACCCCCGGUCCUCUCCGUCCUCAGGGUUGUUCUCCCCAACACGAAUAUCCGGCUGCCCAUGGACCUGCCUUGGGCCCUGGACAUCAGGAACCCCGCUCCCCUCCCUGGAGUCGCUGUCUAGCAUUCCUCUCUCUCAUCACCCCCAAAAGGCCUGUUCUCCAGCCCCCUCCCUCUACUGCGCCUACAGCCUAGGCAUUAAGCCCUUUAGGGAACCCCCGGUUCCAUGGCCACUAGGUCAUGUCACAUUCUAUUAGGCCAGCUUAAGGGGCUAUAAAUUGUCCCGCGCAAAACAGGUCUUUGCUCCUUCCUCUCUCCUCUCCUGGUACACCCUAAUGAAGACGAAAUCCUGCAACCUCCUGACCUGUAUCUUUUCUCUAUCUGCAGUAACCUUCUAGUGCUCCAUGACCCACGCUUCUCAAGAAGUUCAAUGGUAAUACAUUAAAAAGAAGAAGAAGAAGAAGAAGAAGAAGAAAAGAAAAAAGAGCAGUUAUCAGACAGGAACUCUCACCACUUCACAGCAACACCUGAUCUGCACCUGUAUCUCUGCUAUCCCUGUGGGAUAAAGGACCUUAUCCUACCUGAGGCCAGGCCCUUCACCUGGAUCCCAUGCCCAUCUUCUGGAGGAGGAGUAGGACUUUGCAAUGAUUCCAAUUAUCACCUAUCCAUUUAUUUCUCCAUCAUUCUGUUAUCUAUGAUACAAGAGGCAGUAAAACGUAAAGCCAUCCCUUAUCCCAUAUCUUUCUGAGACACUGCCACAUUUCGCUUGCUGUAAACAGCAAGUCUUCCCUUGUUCUGUAACCAUUUUUUUUUUUUUUUUGCUAACUUCUCCAGUCCAGCUUCUAUCAGCCUGCCCCCCAAAUGAAAACAGCUGUCAAGGGCACCAGUGAAUCCCUUUGAUGAUGUCCUCUCCUCAACCUACUGUACCUCUCAGAUAGCUCUGGUACACUUAACAAUUGCCUGGUUCUUGAAAAUGUCCCUCCCUCCCUUUCUUCUAAUUUGUAUUUUGGCCUAUUUGAAACUUUACUCUUUGGGUGAUGUUCUCGCAACCCCAGUGGCCACUGUGCUCCUUGUCAGUGUUUAUUGCUCACUCCCUAUUCCACAGGGCUUUUAACAGGGCCCUUCCCAUCUACACUCUCUCUGUGGGUUGUUUCAUCCUUGGUGCCAGCACAGAGCAUGGACACAACGGGACCUCCCACGUUCGUACCUCAUGCAUCAACCUGUCCCCUGAGACCCACAUUUGUCUGUGUCUUUGCUGGAUGACCAGAAGGGAGCAGACACUUAACAUGUCCCAAGCACGCCUCUUCACGUGACGUGUUCCUUUGGUCUCCACUGCAACCCAGCACCACGUCCUCUGGAUUCGAUCUUCUGAAAACAUCCUGUAUCCAUCCAUCCCGUUCUGUGCUCAUCUACUGCUACUGUUUUCGUAUCCGAACAAUCUGCUCAUCUCUUGUCUUCACGGCAGUAACUCUGGCCUACUCCUGUUCCUUGCACAUGCUUCUUCCCUCCUUAGAACACUGGUGAUCACAGUCGUCGCUGCCUGGAAGAGUCUCUCCCUGGAUCCUUACAUGGUGGGUUCCUUCUAACCUUCUGGUUUCUGCUCCAUUAUUGCCUCCUCAGAGAGGCUCUCCGUGACCACCUUGUGUAAAGUAGGUUGUUCCUGGCCUAGGACCUGGGUUAUUUUCUUCCUAACAGCCCACUAAUUUGCUUAUUCCUUGGUUGGUUGGUUGGUUGGUUGGUUUGUAUUCUCUCACUCCCCAGAUAAGUGCUACGUGACCAGCUUGUACAAGAGCACCACACACCUAUUAAGAGAGGCUCUCAUUAAUGUUAUGGAAUGCCGAAUAAAAGGUCACCUGACACCUGUUGUUGCUUUGUUGUGGGUUACUGAAAGGGUAUCACUGGGGCGGGGGAGGGUUCCUGGAUGAUCUCCCUUUAAACCCACAGGAACACGUGUGCCCCAUGGUAACUCCUGCAGGUUUUGAGGUGUUUGUACUAAUGACACACAAAAAAACUUUCUUCUCAGUCGUUAAAUUACUUCACUUGCUGCUUAAAAUGAGAUACCCAUGAUGAAUGAGAGAAAGAAAGAGAAGAGGUUGGCCCAUCAUAAGGACACCUAGGGUGGGCAGCAGUGCUCUCAAGACUUCAUCUAGUGAACUCGCAGGCUGCAUAGCAGCAGGCGCGUUCCUUAGUGUCCCUGUGACUUGGUUUCUCCAUCUGCACUUAGGACAGUCAGGGCAUGUGCCCGUAAGGUGAAUGAAACUAUUUUCAGAACAAAGCUGGCACCAGGAGUUCUCAGGAUGUUUGAUAAAUCAUUGCUUCGCAUUGUGAGUGACUGCCUGUGGGAGAAUCAGGAGCCUGAGAAGAGCUGCUGGAGGCCAGAGUGUUCCCACGUGUAUUGUCUGUAUGGGACCCACACCCAUGGAAGUAGCUAGGGAGAAACUGUCCUGGUUAGGACCGAGCCAGGAACCUGUACUGUAACUCCAGCAGGAAGGCCACUAAAGGCAUUGUGCCCAGAAUGGGAAGUUCUCAAGCAAACACUUUCAUUUUGGGGAUUUUACCUUUAGGGCAGUUGUUCUUUAAUUCUGUUUUCCAGUCAUGUAGACUGUGCUUCCCCCGGUAAUGAGAAAAGUAGUUACUUUGAACGAUUAAACUAUGGAGCCAGUCUCCGUGCUGCUGUUUUAAUUCAUUAUGUGGUAAACAGGAGACUGGAAAAAAGGUUGCCAAACCUCCAAAUACUCCUGGACUAGUCACCUAGGAAGACACACCCAGAUUUGCCCCAGAACCCUUGGAAAACAUCACAAGCUUUGGGUAAGUUCAUCUCUGCUGCCGAGUAUCCAGGUGCUGGUGGGAGCAGAGGAUUUAGGAUUGAAGCUCUCUGGGUACUGAUGUUACAAUUGCUGACAAGCAUCUCCUAGGACCCUUUUAAAACAUGGUGUCUGUCUUUGAACUCUGAGUUUACUUUUAUAGAUCGUCCGUACUGACAAUGGCACAAGGGUGCAUGACUGACUGGUAAUCCUCUCUCUUUUAUGUUUCUUUCUCAACUAGCCAAUCCCUUUUUGCUUAAUAAUAAUAAUAAUUAAUAAUAAUAAAAGCAAAUCCUAAAGCUUUCCCUUUGGGAUCUGGAUAUACUCUAUAGGAGUCUUGUCAGCAUGAAGGUCAAGCAAAGAUGAAUGUUGUCUCCCAGUAUUGGAGGAGUACAUGACACAAAGAGGUGGCCGAUGGAGGUAAGGCUCUCAGGUCAGACUCCCCUGAAUGGGAGGGGACAAGUGAGAUGUAUCAGACAAGUGGAGGAAAGGAUUUUGCACCGAUUUGCGUUUGGGACUCAGAGGAGUUCACUUUGCAGGCUGACCCAGCAGUCUCUUUGGGCAGAGGGAUGGCUGAAGUUUAGGAACUUAGCUUUCUGGAGCUGAUCGUGGCUCCUGCUGUGCUGUGACCCUCCAGAGGCUGCAUCCCCAGGUAAGGAAAUGUGGAAAGUGAGUGACUCCCCAUCAGGGGUUAAUGAAGGAGGACUAAGCAUGCAGCAGACUAGGUGACCCUGCAGCUGAGGCUGUGGAGCAACAGCCCUUCCCACAGAAGUGAUGGACGUUGAGACCAAGAAUCCAAGAGGUCUCCACAUGCCAACACAGGUGAGCUGAGGCUGGGUCAGCCAGGAAGCAGCAGGUACUGGCCAAGAGGAGAGAGGAAAAAGCAGGUUACACCAGCCACAUGCAAGGUGGUGCAGGUCACUUCACCAGGUGGACCAGGGACACAAGAGUCCUCCUUCCCUCAGAAACCACCCAGGACACUGUGAGCAACAUAAGGAUUUCAUACACCCCAUUCCAGCACCACCCGGGGAGACUUGUAAGCCACACAUACACCUUCCCCACUUGGAGGCAAGAAGGAAGGUGUGGUGGAAAUCUGAGCGACUGAGCACUUCCUCAGCUAGACCAGUCACGUGAUUGAUAUCAAAGAUGCUUAGCAGACCAUCAAUGAAUUCAGUGGGGGUUUUGGCUCCUUUUCUGUGUAGUCCUGAGAGUGAAUAAUCAUGAAGAUCACAUCAGCCAGAGAGAAUCAAUUACCCACCGUGCCCUUGUGGUCUGAGGAGCACUGGUGAAUCUGUGAUCCCAGCUCACCAUCCCCACAGGCCCCUGCUCUGUCCACCCUCCAAUCAGUCCAUGUUAGAGGAGGAUGGGGCAUCCUUGCCUUGUCCUCUCCUUUAACUAGGACAACGUUUCAUGUCCCAGAAAUGGACCCCCAAAGCAGAGCACAGAAGGAAGAGCAGACCAGACAGACACAGCGGAGUAACUCAUAAGAGCUGUCACUGAGGUGAGCAGGUCCUUCUCAAGUCUGUCAUGCCCUCCACGAGUGAUGCCAGGCUCCAUUCUCCUUUAACAACACAGGCCCCCUUUUCCAGGGCCUGAGCCAUGCAUACAAUGCUGUAGCAUCCUUUAGGGCUGGAGAAAAUCACAAACACAUUAGAGCUACUCUGCUUUCAUUGCUUCCGUAGCCUUCUGGGACCUCACUGUUGUGCAGGAUGCUUUUUUUGGGGAGGCUGUGGUUCCUCCCCCAGUUCCUUCUGAAGGCAUCUCAGGAUUAUACCUCUCUCCUUCCAUCCUCUACGAUACACCUAUCCCUUCAGUCCUAGCCAAAGCACGUUCCCAUUCUGAAGUGAGAUCUAUCAGGCAGUGAGAGGGAGGGAGAAGGGGCUGUGUGCCGGAAGGGGGUGAGCCAUUCUGUUGUCAUGGCAACAUUCUUCUGCAGCUCCUCACUGGGUCACUCAGUCUCAGGCGUCAGCUUGCCUGAAGGUCCAGGAUAGAUGGGAAAGCACUUGUCUCCCUCUCCUUGUCUUUUUGUGAUGAGACGUUGAGAUGAUUUAAAAAGAGAAAAAUGGUUACCAGGGUAACUGAAGCUUCAUCCAUCUGACUCAAGAGGAAAAAAGCCCAAGCCACAAAAGGGAGUAGAAACUAAACCACAGGAUGUAUUGUGGGAGGCCACCCAUAGAGAAAGGGUCCUGACUGUCAAUAAAUGUGCUUGUUACACACGCACACGCGGAUACAGAGGAGCACUGCUUCCAGCCCAGAGCAGCACACUGACUGAGGCAAUAGGUACCAAGGGGGAGACCCGAUGAGACAAUGGGGAGGGAAUGCAGGCCAACCCAGAUCAAGCAAGGCAAGAGGGGCAAUGUACCUUUUCAGUAGUUAUCUACCGGUUCUUUCACGGCUUAUUUGAAAUCCGCAUUUCAUUUCCACCUAUUUGUGUAACUACUUAUUUAGGACAAACUCUAUCCUAUGUCACCUGUGUUCUCUCCCUUUUGUGGUACUAAAACCGAUCACAUAAAACGUACCAUGUUAAGCAUGUUUAAAUGAGCGUCGGUUGGUUCCAUCAGGAAGUUCACACUGUUGUGCAACUAUCGCCAGUAUCAUCCAUUUCCAAAAUUUCCAUCAUCCGACCUGUAUCUUUGUACUCUUUCAUUAAGAACCCCCCAGUACCGCUUCCCCUCCGCGCCUGGUAAUCACUACGUGUGGAGAAAAGCCAAAAAGCAGACGACUUAGAGACGCAGACAUCCAAGUUGGUGAAGAACCUCGGCAGCAGUUUAAGAAAAGCAGGUUGAAAGAAGGCAGCUCUGAGUUCUUUCAAACUCGGAAGGCGGGGGAAGAGGUGGUCCGAACUGGUACAGUGCGCAACACUGCCACCUACUGGCCAGAGAAACGGAACGACACACAUCACAAAGGAAAAUCCAUCGUUUCCUCUGCUCGCCUGUAAAGAGCCCUGCAGAUCAUAGCUGAGGUGGCAAGGAGGAAUGCUGCUGCGGGGGAGCGAAGGGUGCGGUACAAUCGAAGUGGCCCGGCCGAACGGUCUUCGGCACAAUAGCCUUCUACGGUCCCGCCCCGGAACUAAGCCAACAGAAGCAGGAAGGCCCGCGUCCGGAAGUUCCGGCGCCCGGUAGAGGAAAAGGCAGGGCUUCGGGAUGCGUUCCAAUUGUGAGGGUCUGAGCCUGGUUCCGGCGACUGAGUGAGGUCCUUGCCAGUCUGUGUGCCCAGCUCUGAAGACGGUUUCCAUACUCGUCCAAGGCCCCAAACCCCUGUUAUCCGGCUGCUAUUCCCCGAUCCCCGGACUCUCAGACCGUCCUUUGGGCGAGGCGUGUCCGAAUCCCCUGGUCAUUGUUCUGCCCACUCCAGCCUGUGAACGUUGGUCCCAAGGCACAGUUGCUAUCCUCCUCUCAGCCCUCCCUCCCCUGCUGCCUCCAGGCCUAUCAAGGCCCUAGAAGACGAACCGGCCACCCCCGGUCCUCUCCGUCCUCAGGGUUGUUCUCCCCAACACGAAUAUCCGGCUGCCCAUGGACCUGCCUUGGGCCCUGGACAUCAGGAACCCCGCUCCCCUCCCUGGAGUCGCUGUCUAGCAUUCCUCUCUCUCAUCACCCCCAAAAGGCCUGUUCUCCAGCCCCCUCCCUCUACUGCGCCUACAGCCUAGGCAUUAAGCCCUUUAGGGAACCCCCGGUUCCAUGGCCACUAGGUCAUGUCACAUUCUAUUAGGCCAGCUUAAGGGGCUAUAAAUUGUCCCGCGCAAAACAGGUCUUUGCUCCUUCCUCUCUCCUCUCCUGGUACACCCUAAUGAAGACGAAAUCCUGCAACCUCCUGACCUGUAUCUUUUCUCUAUCUGCAGUAACCUUCUAGUGCUCCAUGACCCACGCUUCUCAAGAAGUUCAAUGGUAAUACAUUAAAAAGAAGAAGAAGAAGAAGAAGAAGAAGAAAAGAAAAAAGAGCAGUUAUCAGACAGGAACUCUCACCACUUCACAGCAACACCUGAUCUGCACCUGUAUCUCUGCUAUCCCUGUGGGAUAAAGGACCUUAUCCUACCUGAGGCCAGGCCCUUCACCUGGAUCCCAUGCCCAUCUUCUGGAGGAGGAGUAGGACUUUGCAAUGAUUCCAAUUAUCACCUAUCCAUUUAUUUCUCCAUCAUUCUGUUAUCUAUGAUACAAGAGGCAGUAAAACGUAAAGCCAUCCCUUAUCCCAUAUCUUUCUGAGACACUGCCACAUUUCGCUUGCUGUAAACAGCAAGUCUUCCCUUGUUCUGUAACCAUUUUUUUUUUUUUUUUGCUAACUUCUCCAGUCCAGCUUCUAUCAGCCUGCCCCCCAAAUGAAAACAGCUGUCAAGGGCACCAGUGAAUCCCUUUGAUGAUGUCCUCUCCUCAACCUACUGUACCUCUCAGAUAGCUCUGGUACACUUAACAAUUGCCUGGUUCUUGAAAAUGUCCCUCCCUCCCUUUCUUCUAAUUUGUAUUUUGGCCUAUUUGAAACUUUACUCUUUGGGUGAUGUUCUCGCAACCCCAGUGGCCACUGUGCUCCUUGUCAGUGUUUAUUGCUCACUCCCUAUUCCACAGGGCUUUUAACAGGGCCCUUCCCAUCUACACUCUCUCUGUGGGUUGUUUCAUCCUUGGUGCCAGCACAGAGCAUGGACACAACGGGACCUCCCACGUUCGUACCUCAUGCAUCAACCUGUCCCCUGAGACCCACAUUUGUCUGUGUCUUUGCUGGAUGACCAGAAGGGAGCAGACACUUAACAUGUCCCAAGCACGCCUCUUCACGUGACGUGUUCCUUUGGUCUCCACUGCAACCCAGCACCACGUCCUCUGGAUUCGAUCUUCUGAAAACAUCCUGUAUCCAUCCAUCCCGUUCUGUGCUCAUCUACUGCUACUGUUUUCGUAUCCGAACAAUCUGCUCAUCUCUUGUCUUCACGGCAGUAACUCUGGCCUACUCCUGUUCCUUGCACAUGCUUCUUCCCUCCUUAGAACACUGGUGAUCACAGUCGUCGCUGCCUGGAAGAGUCUCUCCCUGGAUCCUUACAUGGUGGGUUCCUUCUAACCUUCUGGUUUCUGCUCCAUUAUUGCCUCCUCAGAGAGGCUCUCCGUGACCACCUUGUGUAAAGUAGGUUGUUCCUGGCCUAGGACCUGGGUUAUUUUCUUCCUAACAGCCCACUAAUUUGCUUAUUCCUUGGUUGGUUGGUUGGUUGGUUGGUUUGUAUUCUCUCACUCCCCAGAUAAGUGCUACGUGACCAGCUUGUACAAGAGCACCACACACCUAUUAAGAGAGGCUCUCAUUAAUGUUAUGGAAUGCCGAAUAAAAGGUCACCUGACACCUGUUGUUGCUUUGUUGUGGGUUACUGAAAGGGUAUCACUGGGGCGGGGGAGGGUUCCUGGAUGAUCUCCCUUUAAACCCACAGGAACACGUGUGCCCCAUGGUAACUCCUGCAGGUUUUGAGGUGUUUGUACUAAUGACACACAAAAAAACUUUCUUCUCAGUCGUUAAAUUACUUCACUUGCUGCUUAAAAUGAGAUACCCAUGAUGAAUGAGAGAAAGAAAGAGAAGAGGUUGGCCCAUCAUAAGGACACCUAGGGUGGGCAGCAGUGCUCUCAAGACUUCAUCUAGUGAACUCGCAGGCUGCAUAGCAGCAGGCGCGUUCCUUAGUGUCCCUGUGACUUGGUUUCUCCAUCUGCACUUAGGACAGUCAGGGCAUGUGCCCGUAAGGUGAAUGAAACUAUUUUCAGAACAAAGCUGGCACCAGGAGUUCUCAGGAUGUUUGAUAAAUCAUUGCUUCGCAUUGUGAGUGACUGCCUGUGGGAGAAUCAGGAGCCUGAGAAGAGCUGCUGGAGGCCAGAGUGUUCCCACGUGUAUUGUCUGUAUGGGACCCACACCCAUGGAAGUAGCUAGGGAGAAACUGUCCUGGUUAGGACCGAGCCAGGAACCUGUACUGUAACUCCAGCAGGAAGGCCACUAAAGGCAUUGUGCCCAGAAUGGGAAGUUCUCAAGCAAACACUUUCAUUUUGGGGAUUUUACCUUUAGGGCAGUUGUUCUUUAAUUCUGUUUUCCAGUCAUGUAGACUGUGCUUCCCCCGGUAAUGAGAAAAGUAGUUACUUUGAACGAUUAAACUAUGGAGCCAGUCUCCGUGCUGCUGUUUUAAUUCAUUAUGUGGUAAACAGGAGACUGGAAAAAAGGUUGCCAAACCUCCAAAUACUCCUGGACUAGUCACCUAGGAAGACACACCCAGAUUUGCCCCAGAACCCUUGGAAAACAUCACAAGCUUUGGGUAAGUUCAUCUCUGCUGCCGAGUAUCCAGGUGCUGGUGGGAGCAGAGGAUUUAGGAUUGAAGCUCUCUGGGUACUGAUGUUACAAUUGCUGACAAGCAUCUCCUAGGACCCUUUUAAAACAUGGUGUCUGUCUUUGAACUCUGAGUUUACUUUUAUAGAUCGUCCGUACUGACAAUGGCACAAGGGUGCAUGACUGACUGGUAAUCCUCUCUCUUUUAUGUUUCUUUCUCAACUAGCCAAUCCCUUUUUGCUUAAUAAUAAUAAUAAUUAAUAAUAAUAAAAGCAAAUCCUAAAGCUUUCCCUUUGGGAUCUGGAUAUACUCUAUAGGAGUCUUGUCAGCAUGAAGGUCAAGCAAAGAUGAAUGUUGUCUCCCAGUAUUGGAGGAGUACAUGACACAAAGAGGUGGCCGAUGGAGGUAAGGCUCUCAGGUCAGACUCCCCUGAAUGGGAGGGGACAAGUGAGAUGUAUCAGACAAGUGGAGGAAAGGAUUUUGCACCGAUUUGCGUUUGGGACUCAGAGGAGUUCACUUUGCAGGCUGACCCAGCAGUCUCUUUGGGCAGAGGGAUGGCUGAAGUUUAGGAACUUAGCUUUCUGGAGCUGAUCGUGGCUCCUGCUGUGCUGUGACCCUCCAGAGGCUGCAUCCCCAGGUAAGGAAAUGUGGAAAGUGAGUGACUCCCCAUCAGGGGUUAAUGAAGGAGGACUAAGCAUGCAGCAGACUAGGUGACCCUGCAGCUGAGGCUGUGGAGCAACAGCCCUUCCCACAGAAGUGAUGGACGUUGAGACCAAGAAUCCAAGAGGUCUCCACAUGCCAACACAGGUGAGCUGAGGCUGGGUCAGCCAGGAAGCAGCAGGUACUGGCCAAGAGGAGAGAGGAAAAAGCAGGUUACACCAGCCACAUGCAAGGUGGUGCAGGUCACUUCACCAGGUGGACCAGGGACACAAGAGUCCUCCUUCCCUCAGAAACCACCCAGGACACUGUGAGCAACAUAAGGAUUUCAUACACCCCAUUCCAGCACCACCCGGGGAGACUUGUAAGCCACACAUACACCUUCCCCACUUGGAGGCAAGAAGGAAGGUGUGGUGGAAAUCUGAGCGACUGAGCACUUCCUCAGCUAGACCAGUCACGUGAUUGAUAUCAAAGAUGCUUAGCAGACCAUCAAUGAAUUCAGUGGGGGUUUUGGCUCCUUUUCUGUGUAGUCCUGAGAGUGAAUAAUCAUGAAGAUCACAUCAGCCAGAGAGAAUCAAUUACCCACCGUGCCCUUGUGGUCUGAGGAGCACUGGUGAAUCUGUGAUCCCAGCUCACCAUCCCCACAGGCCCCUGCUCUGUCCACCCUCCAAUCAGUCCAUGUUAGAGGAGGAUGGGGCAUCCUUGCCUUGUCCUCUCCUUUAACUAGGACAACGUUUCAUGUCCCAGAAAUGGACCCCCAAAGCAGAGCACAGAAGGAAGAGCAGACCAGACAGACACAGCGGAGUAACUCAUAAGAGCUGUCACUGAGGUGAGCAGGUCCUUCUCAAGUCUGUCAUGCCCUCCACGAGUGAUGCCAGGCUCCAUUCUCCUUUAACAACACAGGCCCCCUUUUCCAGGGCCUGAGCCAUGCAUACAAUGCUGUAGCAUCCUUUAGGGCUGGAGAAAAUCACAAACACAUUAGAGCUACUCUGCUUUCAUUGCUUCCGUAGCCUUCUGGGACCUCACUGUUGUGCAGGAUGCUUUUUUUGGGGAGGCUGUGGUUCCUCCCCCAGUUCCUUCUGAAGGCAUCUCAGGAUUAUACCUCUCUCCUUCCAUCCUCUACGAUACACCUAUCCCUUCAGUCCUAGCCAAAGCACGUUCCCAUUCUGAAGUGAGAUCUAUCAGGCAGUGAGAGGGAGGGAGAAGGGGCUGUGUGCCGGAAGGGGGUGAGCCAUUCUGUUGUCAUGGCAACAUUCUUCUGCAGCUCCUCACUGGGUCACUCAGUCUCAGGCGUCAGCUUGCCUGAAGGUCCAGGAUAGAUGGGAAAGCACUUGUCUCCCUCUCCUUGUCUUUUUGUGAUGAGACGUUGAGAUGAUUUAAAAAGAGAAAAAUGGUUACCAGGGUAACUGAAGCUUCAUCCAUCUGACUCAAGAGGAAAAAAGCCCAAGCCACAAAAGGGAGUAGAAACUAAACCACAGGAUGUAUUGUGGGAGGCCACCCAUAGAGAAAGGGUCCUGACUGUCAAUAAAUGUGCUUGUUACACACGCACACGCGGAUACAGAGGAGCACUGCUUCCAGCCCAGAGCAGCACACUGACUGAGGCAAUAGGUACCAAGGGGGAGACCCGAUGAGACAAUGGGGAGGGAAUGCAGGCCAACCCAGAUCAAGCAAGGCAAGAGGGGCAAUGUACCUUUUCAGUAGUUAUCUACCGGUUCUUUCACGGCUUAUUUGAAAUCCGCAUUUCAUUUCCACCUAUUUGUGUAACUACUUAUUUAGGACAAACUCUAUCCUAUGUCACCUGUGUUCUCUCCCUUUUGUGGUACUAAAACCGAUCACAUAAAACGUACCAUGUUAAGCAUGUUUAAAUGAGCGUCGGUUGGUUCCAUCAGGAAGUUCACACUGUUGUGCAACUAUCGCCAGUAUCAUCCAUUUCCAAAAUUUCCAUCAUCCGACCUGUAUCUUUGUACUCUUUCAUUAAGAACCCCCCAGUACCGCUUCCCCUCCGCGCCUGGUAAUCACUACGUGUGGAGAAAAGCCAAAAAGCAGACGACUUAGAGACGCAGACAUCCAAGUUGGUGAAGAACCUCGGCAGCAGUUUAAGAAAAGCAGGUUGAAAGAAGGCAGCUCUGAGUUCUUUCAAACUCGGAAGGCGGGGGAAGAGGUGGUCCGAACUGGUACAGUGCGCAACACUGCCACCUACUGGCCAGAGAAACGGAACGACACACAUCACAAAGGAAAAUCCAUCGUUUCCUCUGCUCGCCUGUAAAGAGCCCUGCAGAUCAUAGCUGAGGUGGCAAGGAGGAAUGCUGCUGCGGGGGAGCGAAGGGUGCGGUACAAUCGAAGUGGCCCGGCCGAACGGUCUUCGGCACAAUAGCCUUCUACGGUCCCGCCCCGGAACUAAGCCAACAGAAGCAGGAAGGCCCGCGUCCGGAAGUUCCGGCGCCCGGUAGAGGAAAAGGCAGGGCUUCGGGAUGCGUUCCAAUUGUGAGGGUCUGAGCCUGGUUCCGGCGACUGAGUGAGGUCCUUGCCAGUCUGUGUGCCCAGCUCUGAAGACGGUUUCCAUACUCGUCCAAGGCCCCAAACCCCUGUUAUCCGGCUGCUAUUCCCCGAUCCCCGGACUCUCAGACCGUCCUUUGGGCGAGGCGUGUCCGAAUCCCCUGGUCAUUGUUCUGCCCACUCCAGCCUGUGAACGUUGGUCCCAAGGCACAGUUGCUAUCCUCCUCUCAGCCCUCCCUCCCCUGCUGCCUCCAGGCCUAUCAAGGCCCUAGAAGACGAACCGGCCACCCCCGGUCCUCUCCGUCCUCAGGGUUGUUCUCCCCAACACGAAUAUCCGGCUGCCCAUGGACCUGCCUUGGGCCCUGGACAUCAGGAACCCCGCUCCCCUCCCUGGAGUCGCUGUCUAGCAUUCCUCUCUCUCAUCACCCCCAAAAGGCCUGUUCUCCAGCCCCCUCCCUCUACUGCGCCUACAGCCUAGGCAUUAAGCCCUUUAGGGAACCCCCGGUUCCAUGGCCACUAGGUCAUGUCACAUUCUAUUAGGCCAGCUUAAGGGGCUAUAAAUUGUCCCGCGCAAAACAGGUCUUUGCUCCUUCCUCUCUCCUCUCCUGGUACACCCUAAUGAAGACGAAAUCCUGCAACCUCCUGACCUGUAUCUUUUCUCUAUCUGCAGUAACCUUCUAGUGCUCCAUGACCCACGCUUCUCAAGAAGUUCAAUGGUAAUACAUUAAAAAGAAGAAGAAGAAGAAGAAGAAGAAGAAAAGAAAAAAGAGCAGUUAUCAGACAGGAACUCUCACCACUUCACAGCAACACCUGAUCUGCACCUGUAUCUCUGCUAUCCCUGUGGGAUAAAGGACCUUAUCCUACCUGAGGCCAGGCCCUUCACCUGGAUCCCAUGCCCAUCUUCUGGAGGAGGAGUAGGACUUUGCAAUGAUUCCAAUUAUCACCUAUCCAUUUAUUUCUCCAUCAUUCUGUUAUCUAUGAUACAAGAGGCAGUAAAACGUAAAGCCAUCCCUUAUCCCAUAUCUUUCUGAGACACUGCCACAUUUCGCUUGCUGUAAACAGCAAGUCUUCCCUUGUUCUGUAACCAUUUUUUUUUUUUUUUUGCUAACUUCUCCAGUCCAGCUUCUAUCAGCCUGCCCCCCAAAUGAAAACAGCUGUCAAGGGCACCAGUGAAUCCCUUUGAUGAUGUCCUCUCCUCAACCUACUGUACCUCUCAGAUAGCUCUGGUACACUUAACAAUUGCCUGGUUCUUGAAAAUGUCCCUCCCUCCCUUUCUUCUAAUUUGUAUUUUGGCCUAUUUGAAACUUUACUCUUUGGGUGAUGUUCUCGCAACCCCAGUGGCCACUGUGCUCCUUGUCAGUGUUUAUUGCUCACUCCCUAUUCCACAGGGCUUUUAACAGGGCCCUUCCCAUCUACACUCUCUCUGUGGGUUGUUUCAUCCUUGGUGCCAGCACAGAGCAUGGACACAACGGGACCUCCCACGUUCGUACCUCAUGCAUCAACCUGUCCCCUGAGACCCACAUUUGUCUGUGUCUUUGCUGGAUGACCAGAAGGGAGCAGACACUUAACAUGUCCCAAGCACGCCUCUUCACGUGACGUGUUCCUUUGGUCUCCACUGCAACCCAGCACCACGUCCUCUGGAUUCGAUCUUCUGAAAACAUCCUGUAUCCAUCCAUCCCGUUCUGUGCUCAUCUACUGCUACUGUUUUCGUAUCCGAACAAUCUGCUCAUCUCUUGUCUUCACGGCAGUAACUCUGGCCUACUCCUGUUCCUUGCACAUGCUUCUUCCCUCCUUAGAACACUGGUGAUCACAGUCGUCGCUGCCUGGAAGAGUCUCUCCCUGGAUCCUUACAUGGUGGGUUCCUUCUAACCUUCUGGUUUCUGCUCCAUUAUUGCCUCCUCAGAGAGGCUCUCCGUGACCACCUUGUGUAAAGUAGGUUGUUCCUGGCCUAGGACCUGGGUUAUUUUCUUCCUAACAGCCCACUAAUUUGCUUAUUCCUUGGUUGGUUGGUUGGUUGGUUGGUUUGUAUUCUCUCACUCCCCAGAUAAGUGCUACGUGACCAGCUUGUACAAGAGCACCACACACCUAUUAAGAGAGGCUCUCAUUAAUGUUAUGGAAUGCCGAAUAAAAGGUCACCUGACACCUGUUGUUGCUUUGUUGUGGGUUACUGAAAGGGUAUCACUGGGGCGGGGGAGGGUUCCUGGAUGAUCUCCCUUUAAACCCACAGGAACACGUGUGCCCCAUGGUAACUCCUGCAGGUUUUGAGGUGUUUGUACUAAUGACACACAAAAAAACUUUCUUCUCAGUCGUUAAAUUACUUCACUUGCUGCUUAAAAUGAGAUACCCAUGAUGAAUGAGAGAAAGAAAGAGAAGAGGUUGGCCCAUCAUAAGGACACCUAGGGUGGGCAGCAGUGCUCUCAAGACUUCAUCUAGUGAACUCGCAGGCUGCAUAGCAGCAGGCGCGUUCCUUAGUGUCCCUGUGACUUGGUUUCUCCAUCUGCACUUAGGACAGUCAGGGCAUGUGCCCGUAAGGUGAAUGAAACUAUUUUCAGAACAAAGCUGGCACCAGGAGUUCUCAGGAUGUUUGAUAAAUCAUUGCUUCGCAUUGUGAGUGACUGCCUGUGGGAGAAUCAGGAGCCUGAGAAGAGCUGCUGGAGGCCAGAGUGUUCCCACGUGUAUUGUCUGUAUGGGACCCACACCCAUGGAAGUAGCUAGGGAGAAACUGUCCUGGUUAGGACCGAGCCAGGAACCUGUACUGUAACUCCAGCAGGAAGGCCACUAAAGGCAUUGUGCCCAGAAUGGGAAGUUCUCAAGCAAACACUUUCAUUUUGGGGAUUUUACCUUUAGGGCAGUUGUUCUUUAAUUCUGUUUUCCAGUCAUGUAGACUGUGCUUCCCCCGGUAAUGAGAAAAGUAGUUACUUUGAACGAUUAAACUAUGGAGCCAGUCUCCGUGCUGCUGUUUUAAUUCAUUAUGUGGUAAACAGGAGACUGGAAAAAAGGUUGCCAAACCUCCAAAUACUCCUGGACUAGUCACCUAGGAAGACACACCCAGAUUUGCCCCAGAACCCUUGGAAAACAUCACAAGCUUUGGGUAAGUUCAUCUCUGCUGCCGAGUAUCCAGGUGCUGGUGGGAGCAGAGGAUUUAGGAUUGAAGCUCUCUGGGUACUGAUGUUACAAUUGCUGACAAGCAUCUCCUAGGACCCUUUUAAAACAUGGUGUCUGUCUUUGAACUCUGAGUUUACUUUUAUAGAUCGUCCGUACUGACAAUGGCACAAGGGUGCAUGACUGACUGGUAAUCCUCUCUCUUUUAUGUUUCUUUCUCAACUAGCCAAUCCCUUUUUGCUUAAUAAUAAUAAUAAUUAAUAAUAAUAAAAGCAAAUCCUAAAGCUUUCCCUUUGGGAUCUGGAUAUACUCUAUAGGAGUCUUGUCAGCAUGAAGGUCAAGCAAAGAUGAAUGUUGUCUCCCAGUAUUGGAGGAGUACAUGACACAAAGAGGUGGCCGAUGGAGGUAAGGCUCUCAGGUCAGACUCCCCUGAAUGGGAGGGGACAAGUGAGAUGUAUCAGACAAGUGGAGGAAAGGAUUUUGCACCGAUUUGCGUUUGGGACUCAGAGGAGUUCACUUUGCAGGCUGACCCAGCAGUCUCUUUGGGCAGAGGGAUGGCUGAAGUUUAGGAACUUAGCUUUCUGGAGCUGAUCGUGGCUCCUGCUGUGCUGUGACCCUCCAGAGGCUGCAUCCCCAGAAAUGGACCCCCAAAGCAGAGCACAGAAGGAAGAGCAGACCAGACAGACACAGCGGAGUAACUCAUAAGAGCUGUCACUGAGAACCCCCCAGUACCGCUUCCCCUCCGCGCCUGGUAAUCACUACGUGUGGAGAAAAGCCAAAAAGCAGACGACUUAGAGACGCAGACAUCCAAGUUGGUGAAGAACCUCGGCAGCAGUUUAAGAAAAGCAGGUUGAAAGGUAGAAAGAUUUUAUCCCAGGGCUGCAUGUUUUAUUGGGUCCCUAACACGUAGAAAAAACCUAUUUCCAGCCAGGGCAGCCAAAAGCGCGCAUGCGUAAAA